UAGGAUAAUUGCAACCAACAAAGGUGUUCGACAACAGUUUCUUCAAUUUGUGAAUGCAAGCGUCAUACAAAUGUCGUCUUUAGAUUAAGACUCAAUCAGAAACAGUAAUUUCCUUAUUUCAUAUUCUCACAACUCUUUUUAUUUAAGUCAUGCAUCUCCUCAAUCAUUAUAUCCAGUACCGGAUCUUCUUCAACUCAAGUAUUUUCAUAUACCCCAGAUUCAACACUCAACGUAAGGCCAGAAUAACCACCUUCUCCAUCUUCUCUUUACCCUACUACUCCACAUGCGCCACCCCACAUUGCUGCAGUUGAAAUGGAAGACGGUCAAUAAGUUGUCUUGAUUAGAUCCACCUGAGCAGCUUCAACCACAAUAGAUCCACCCGAGCAACUUUGAUAUAUUUGCUUUGCAGCUGUCAUGUAUCCUGAUUUUGGACCUGAUCUGUACUGUAGUUAGAAGCAUGUAUCAUCUAACAAAAUGCCAAUAAAUCACAAAGUAAAAAAACUAAAUUCUAGAAGAAAUAUAACUGGGAAACUGAUUAAAAGAUAAAGACUAUUCUAGUUACAUUGCAUUGUGUACGACAAGCUUAAGCUAUUUGAUCUCCCACUGAUUGAUUGGAGCAAAGAGCCUUUGUCACAUACUAAGCCAUCUGAUCCAUGACUGAUCAAUUGACCAUGAUUCAAAAUUACAAAUACUGGAAGCACUAUUACCCCUGCAGCUUAGCAGGAUGAACAUCAUAAAGUAAUUUUGUACAAAAAAGGACACCAAAUAGACAAUGUCACCAAGGGGAAACAUUAGUACUAAGAAGGCAAUCGACACAAGAUGGGGGAAUGGAUUUAGACCUCGUUGGAACUAAACAACCUGACGAGGCAACGUUGAAGGUCGAUCCCUCUUUCGACUUAAACAUGCAACCAUAGUCCAACCAAAUUUUAGUGAUGUGGUCGAUAUAAGAUUUCAAACAUUUUACUUGAGUUGGUAAAAAGUAAAUGAAAGACCAAAAUGCUGGUCAGGCCCUAUACUCAACUGAUAAUGGCAGGCUAACACUUCCGCCAACACAAAGGAAGUUCUAGCUCGUACAGGUGAACAUGCACUACAAGCCUACAAAAUAUACUUCCAUCUCAGGUUUUAAAAGUUUUCAUUGAACCUUUUGCUCCCAUAUCCUAUGCUACUUUUUAGGCCUUAAGGGACUAUACUAAUUGGCAGUUACUACUUCCUCCGAUCCAUAAUAAGUGUCGCAGUUUUGAACUAAGGUUGAACACCUUAGUUCAAAGCUGCGACACUUAUAUUUGGAUCGGAGGGAGCACAAACUAAGGGUAAAAGGAAAUCUACAAAAUUGUAACCAGCUAGUGUAGUACUGCAACCUUUAGUAUAGAUACCUGAACACAAAGGGAAAAAAUGGAAAUUAGUAGACAUAUAUCACAUCAUCAUAAAAUUUACUUGGAAGUGACCAAUAUUGCUUAAACAUCUCAACUAAAUCAAAGCUUGAGAAGCAAAAGUUUAUCUCCUCGAUGCCUUCAUCAUAAAGGAAGUCACACAUCUGCACUUUGCAAACCAACCAAAAAAUUCAGAUCCAGUAGAGGGAAGCCAACUAAUGAGAUGAGGGUGAUGGUUAGUUGUUGGGUCGACAAUCCGGCGAGGGUUCGGUGACUGCCAGCGGCAAGGCCAGGAGGCAGCGCCGUGGUGAUCGUGGAGCCCACAGGUCUGAGCCGCCAUGCCUGCCCAUCGAACCCAUGCGCAGCUGCAAGAUUUGGAGAGCGAGUGGCCGACUGGCCGCGACAGCGUUACCAGAGCACUUCGUGGUCAAGACUAAAGCAACCUCUUCCUCUUGCCCAAGCAUGCGACCUCCUAACCUCAUCCUCCCAAAUCAUUUUUCCACUAAUUUUACAAGGACACAGAUGAUUCAGAUAUUUAUAUGUAUAGUUUUUCUAGAACUAUUUGACAUUUGGAAAAUUAUUAUUCAUGCGGGUGCACGUAUGAAUUUCUCCUAUGCAGCUUGCUAGUUUUCUUCACCACCCAAUUCCAUUACCACUGAAUCCGAUCAGAAAAAUAACAAGCUCACUAAAUUGAAUGCAGUGUGCAUCAAUAUAAUAACUCGUUAAUAUAUAGCUCUGUGAUCUCCAAAAAUGAAUGUAGACAUUCAGUUAUAAAGGCUGCAUUUCUUUUAGUUCUUUCAAGAGACCGGCAGAAACAUUGCCUUUGAAUUACAAAAAUAGAGUAUGUUUAACAGUCAUUAACAUGUUUAUUUCGUUGUAGUGGCAACCCAAUGGGAGAACCUCUUCCGUACUUACACAUUCGACUCGCGCUUUUUAACAAAAGGACAGUCAAUUCACUGAAUGAAAAGGAAAUAAUUGACGAAACAAAUGUUGUGGUUAAUUACCUGAAGCAUACUACACAUACUUAAAUGUAAAUGUGUUUGUCAACAGAUUGUGCCACACAUUUAGUCAAAUCUAGAUUGCAAUGCACCCCUUCAUUUUGUCCUCAAUAAUAACUUGAUCUGCAUGAAAGCAUCCAAAUUGAGAACAAACAAAGGAUACGUAAAAAGACAUGUUAAAUAUCUGGAACAAGUCUCCGCGCUACAACAAAGGUGAACAAGUGCCCAUCUGCCAAAAAAGAAUAAAUCCUUUGGUCAAAAUUGUAUUAAUAACAGCCACAAUGUAACGUUGUCUCCUGCUGUUGAUCCUGGUCGCAGGCCUGCACUCGAUCCUAGCCUCCUUCAUGCUGCAGUUAAGAGAGGAAAAACAAGUGAGAGAAAGAGGGCAUGGGAGAGAUGGGGGUAUGUCCUAAAUCGAUCAAUCUCUACGAGUAAGUGUUAAUCUCUCUCUCUAAUCAGCUUUGGGGACUCUGAAAUUUCAUAUGCAUAUAUAUAGGGAUUUAUGCUUCUAUUGUAAUUGGAUCGCGUAGAUGUUCAGACGGGAACAAUUCAUAAUGCAGAAAACGAAUCGGUGGGUUGAAGAAAGGACAGAAGCUGAGGGGAUCGCGUGCGUGCCUUGGGCUUGAAGAUAAGAGCAGUGGAGGGCGGGGCGGCCAGCAGGGAGGAGACAUGUGGUGAAGGGCGGCUCCGGCGGCGACCUGCGGCGAAGGGUGGCUCCGGGGCGGCGGCUGGGGAACCUGCGGGCCGCGUCGAAGGGCGGCUCCGGGGCGGCGGCUCGGCGACCUGCGGGCCACGGCGAAGGGCGGCUCCGGGGCGGCGGCUCGGCGACCUGCGAGCCGCGGCGAAGGGGAUCCCGCGGCGAAGGGCGGCUCUGGCGGCGGCUCGGGCGCGACGGACGGGCUCGACGGCGGCUCCCGCGACGAAGGGGAUCCCGCGGCUAAGGGCGUGGCGGUCGGCUCCGGAGGAAUGGAGGAGCGGCGGGAGGCUCGGGAGGAGCGGCGAGGAACGGCAGAGGGCGAACGGCGGGGGAGGAGGAGCAGGGGCGAGAGGUCGAGGUCGUGCGGGCGGGGCGAGAGAACGUGGGGGCGUGCGUUGUUUGCUUUUUUUCUGAACGGCGGGGCAGUUUUAUCGAUGGAUGGCUUGAAGCGUUAAACACUGGAUGCGUGGUUUGUUCCGUCAAACAUUGGAGGAUUAAGGGCCGUUAGAUCUUAUUAAUGGAUGGAUCUGAUUGUUUGGUUCUCCGCCCUCUCUUUCUUUUAUAGGGGUAGUAGAUAGAUAAGUGAAAUAAAAAAUAUAUGUACAGAUAUUUAAUGGGAGAAAUGAAGAUGCACAAAACAAAAGAGAAAAAAAACUUCUUAAAAUAAUAAAAGAAGGUAUUUAUUUCAAAUUCAUAUGUACAAUAAAAUAUAAAAGUGAGCAAAUGGCAAAAAAAAUCAUUCGUAGCCUUCUUUGUUUUUAGAAUUGUUCGUAGCCUAUAUAAGGGCAUGGCCAAUGCAUAGCCUCAUGGUGAUGCCCCGUGUGCCAUGUAGGAUAGAAUGUCAGAGAAAGUAUGUUCGGAUAGGGAAGCGGAAUCCUCUGCAAAAGGAAGGUUCUUGGGGAGAAAAAGUGUGGUCCAGUGUGAAAAGCUGAAAAAAUUGAAGUGAAGAGUAGAGAUGCAUAUGUAUUAAAGUUUUUAUUUUCUAUUUCUUGACGAGGCCCACUACUAGUAGCUUGCGUUGAGGAGAAAAAAAAAUCAAUGUAGUUGCCUCAAGUUACUUUUUCUCAUGAGGCAUCUGUAUCCAUAUGCCACCAUUGUUCAUGCCCUAAACCACUGGUACGCGUCGGUGCAAUACAAACGGUUUUUAACCCUUUUCCGCGACAACAUUUGGAACCAUUGCCAAGUGAGUGUGGGCGAAGGGGGGUCCUUCCCACACGACCCAGAAACCGUCUGGGAUAGGGAGCCAAGAUGCAUAUACAGUACUCCUACUCGUUUGUGCUCGCAUUGCGAUCGCAGUCGGUAUUCUGUGGUGCUACGUUUAUGAUGCGCCGCUAAUCACAAACGUUUCAUUAUUAAAGAAAGUGUAUGAUAAGCAUACAAUCACACACAAUCACUUUUCCCAAACCGUAUGCGAUAACUAAUUAAGAAGAUUAUCUAAUUGUCGUACGAGUGUCGGACAUGAUUAUGAAAUGUCGGACCGUCGUAACAUCGUCGUACAUGACAACUAUCACACACACUAUUCUGUGGUGCAACGUUUACGAUGCAUACUUCAUCAGAAACAGUUCAUGGUUGCGAAUCGUGUACGAUAAGGCAACUAUCACAAAUGUUUAGUUUGCCCGCGCCGUUUGUGAUAUUGUCUGACAUCGCACACGCUUUGCAAACGAUAACUGUGUGCAUGCUUGCACACGUUUCCUCUCUGUGAACCAUGUCGGAUUAUGUUGUAUAUCAUAAAUGUUUGUGUUUUACCAAUCGUGUGUGUCGUAACGACCUGGAUAGCAUAAUUUCACCGUAAUUUAAUUGCUGCUAUUUCAAAUUGUACCGGAUUUCAAUUUGAAUUUGAAUGUAUGCUAUAGCUUUAUUCAUAUCCAUCAGGUUCAAACAACCAAUGCAUUAUUCGAUUCAUAGGUACAUAUGUUCAAGAAUUACAUAAGAACCAAAUAAAGAAUGAUGAACCAUAGUUAUAUACUUGUACUAUUAAAGACGAUAAAGAAAGAGGCGAAAUACAUUCUGGUUGCUGAACAAGGUGAAACAGAAUACCCAUAUAUAUUGUGCCCUCCUCCAUGCAGAAGGCACACACGACUCUAGUCCAACCCUUUGUAAUGGCCGACCGCCCAUCCUUCACGGUCUUCAUGAAAACAUCUAGAUAAUCAUCAUGUUCUGGUAGAAAUACUUUAACCUUUGCAUGCCCACCAAUCAUGUAGUUUGAGAGGUAAUCUUGAGUAAACUACUUUGGAAACCACUGCAUAGGAAAAAGAUUCAGACAUUGUCAUCUAACACAACUCAUUAUGGGCAGUAAAUGAAAGGCUGCAAAGUUCUUACUUACCAUCCUGCAGUUCGCUGUUGUCUUGGAUAAAGUGUAAACAAAUAGUUUAAUUGCAAUCUUUUGACCCAUUUUACUAACAAUCUUUAUCAACUUCCUACUUGAUGUUGGUUCAUCGAUAUCUCAUUUCCCCAUACGCAGAAAGGGUCGAAGCGCGGAUCUUUACCAAUGACAUAUGUACCUAAAAGCACCAAGUUAAUAUUAGAAGCUAAAAAGCAAUUGCACAAUGAUGUAGUACAACACUCUUUUAUAAUAUCUUAUAACAUUCAAUAUACUCACAUAUUAGAUGAAUUAACAUCUUAUAUUAUGGGCCGGAAGGAGUUUAUUGUAUUCUUACAAAUUAUCGACUGAGUUAACUGCUGUUGUAUCCAUGGGUUAGAGUUAGUUUGAGCUAGUUCGGGCAAAAAUAGCCCUAAAGUAUAUCCAAACAUGAGGGCUAGUUUGAGCUAGUUGCAUCUAACCCACCCCAAAAAACUAUCCAACCCAAGAGGUGCUAAUUGGAGCUUGUUCUCCUAGUGCAUUUAUUGUCAAUCUAAUCCUAUCAUCCAAACACCUCUUUGGAUGGAGUUAGUUCAGGGUUAGUCAUGAGCUAGAAACUAACUCUAACUUCUAGCUAUGUUGAGUAUCCAAACAGGGCUGUGUUGACAUCAUCAGAACAUUAAGGUAACAUUCUUCCUUGUUGCUAUGUAGCCUAGGAUUGCAUAUUUAGACAUUAAGUACAGUGCAUGUUGCUAUGUAACCUCAGAUAUAUUACAUAUGGCCCUAGUUAACCUAACGAUAAAUGGGUUACAUAUAUAUUCAGUUAAAAGUACGAUUCAUCAAUUAGUCCCUUAUCAGCCCCGGCCUAUAUGGUACCAGCUAACGAUAUCCUGAACAGUGAGUAUAUAUAAGCCAUGGGAUGAAACUAACCUCGAUGGAAAACAACAGUUGUUCCCAAAAUUGUCCUAUGUAGGUACAUCGAGAGGCAUGUUAAGCACAACAAGCUAAAUAUCAACCAAAAUUAUCCAUGACAGACAAAAUAAUCUCCAAAAGAUAGCUUCAGUGUGCAGGUUUAAGCACGCUAGUAAAACAAAACAAGUGGAAAGGUGUGUUAACUGCAACAGGCCUAACAUUUAACAACAAGCAAACAUAGUCAUUCAAACUGGUAUUGUGCCGGUCUAAGUACACUGGUUAUUCUUAAAUAAAAAUGGAAAGGCGUGUUAACUACAAGAUGCAGCAACCAAAUGUAGUCAUUCAUAGUGGAAUUGUUGAAACUGGUACUAAUGAAAUUGAACUGCACAGUUCAUACUUGCACAUAUAGAACAUCACGUUGUGAAUGACCGGAAUAAACAAGGCAUACUACGAACUACCAAAGAUAGCAUUUGAAACUGGACAUAUGCUAACUACAAACAACCGAACAAUCAAAAAACUUUAAAAGAUGCAUAUGCUAGCUAUAACAGGCUUAACAGCAAGCAAAUAUAUGCAUUCCUAUCGGUAUGUUUAAAACUGGAUUGAUGAAAUGUACUGCACAGUAAAUAAUUGCGCAUACAAAGCAUCACAUUGUGAACAACUGAAAUAAACAAGGCAUACUGCAAACAACCAAAUAUAGCAAUUAAAACUAGACAUAUUCUCACUACACUACAAAAGGGACUCGACAAAACAAAUCAUGGGUUUCCCCCUGUGAAGAGACACGGCAAAACAAAUCAUGGGUUUCCUCACUUGUCACAGAUGGGCUCGUUCCCGUGGGAAGAGCACAGACCCUGGAUGUGCUCCAUGUUGUCGCAGAUGGGCUCCUUCCCCUUGGAAGAGCACGGCUGUAGGGUGCCCUCCCUGAUGUCGCAGACGGGCUCUUUCCCCUUGGAAGAGCAGAUGGACUCUUUCCCCUUGGAAGAGCCGGAGAGGGUGCCCUCCUUGUGGUCGCCGUCGAUGAGGUCUGACUUGGAAGCUGGGGAUCCCAAGCCAGCGUCGCAGAACGUGUCCUUCAGAAAUGACAAAAGGGGCUCGAUGGCGAUGUAGGAUGGCAAAUUCUUGACAGCGAGCCAGAGGAGAUCAGCGGCGGGGCCAUGGAUGAGAUCGACGGCGGUUGAACCCGAGGGGUUGGGGUGGGCCACUAACCUGUGACAUAGCCCGCCUCAGGUCAUCGCUGUCGACGACCUCGAUGUUGUAGCUGGCGUCCGCGACAUACCCGCAUACUCUAGCCCGCUGAUGGAGGGCCUGUGGCCAGUAAUGGUCGUCAGCUUCCUCGGCAACGUCGGGCGAAGAGACCGCGAUACACCUCUUUUGGGCCAAUCGCUCCUCGAGCUCCACGGGAGCCGGGCUUAGGCUCCGACGCUCUGGAGUGGGGGAUGGGGAUGGGGAUCUGUGGGAAAGGGGGCGUUUGGCAGGCGUCAUCUAAGAAACUCAGGGCGGCCUGGGUAUGGAGAUCGGUGGGUAAGCUGCACGGGCAAACCGACAGAUGUUGACAAUAGAGGCCUUGCGGUGGCGGCGGUGGCGGCGCGGACCUUGCUAGGGUUUCGAGCGAGGGAGGGUGUAUGUGUAUGUGCGCGCCCGAGGAGGUUUUAGUGUGUGUGUGUGUGUGUGUGGAGGGGGGGUGUUUGAGGAAAUGACGUGGGUACUGAAAAUUUUACUACGCGGGAGUCAAACGCGGGAGUGUGAUAACCCACAAGUAUCACUACAAAAAAAGACACAUCCGUGACAUUUUGGGCCGAACGAUUUUUUCUUGUCAUGCUUAUGACACUUCUAUGACGAUAAUUGUGACAAAACUCGGUAUCAUCAUAGAUGUGGUGGGCUCCUACUUCUAUGACAAAAAAUCAUGACAGAAAAUGGGCUUUUCGUCUUGGGCGGGCCGGAGACGCAACUGCAUGACAUUCUUUGGGCCGUCCAUGACGGAAAAAAUCGUGGUAGAAGCGAGGGCGAGGAAAAUAUCGAGGAGUUCCCGGUUACGGUGGGUGGUCAGGGCUGAGCGAUGCACGGAUGUUUGCGCGUUUCUCUCGUACACGUACGCGCGUGUGUGCGAGGCGUUGCACUCUAACUGAACCUGAGCGAGGCGUUGGGCUCUAACUGAACCCGAGCGAUUGCACUAGCUACGUUACUGAACCCCGAUCGAUCCCUUGCUAUUAACUGAACCCGAGUGAUUCCUUCGCUGCUGCUGCUAACCGAAGCCGAUCAAAGUUGCCUCUUGAUGAACAGUUCCCGGUGGGGGUUCGAUGAACAGUUUCCGGUGGGGGUUGGAUGAACAGGAUCUCGUGGUAGUAGAGGCCGUUGCCGCUGUAUGAACAGGACCCCGAUCGAGGAGGCGUGGGAGUGGAUGAACAAUAGCUGGUGGAGGGACCCCGUACGUGGAGGGCCGGUUGAACAGGACCCCGUGGAGGGGCUGGUUGAACAGGACCCCGUGGAGGGCUGGUUGAACAGUAGCCGGUGGAGGCUGGAUGAACAGGACACUGUGUAGGGCUGGAUGAAUAGUAGCCGGGGAGGCUGGAUGAACAGGACCCCGUGGAUGAACAGUAGCUGGCGGAGGCUGGAGGAAGUCGACGGUGGAUGAAUAGUAGCAGGUGGAGGCUGGAGGAAGUCGACGGUGGAUGAACAGUAGCCCGUGGAGUCCCGUUUUGUUGGAAAUAUGCCCUAGAGGCAAUAAUAAAAUGGUUAUUAUUAUAUUUCCUUGUUCAUGAUAAUUGUCUAUUGUUCAUGCUAUAAUUGUGUUAUCCGGAAAUCGUAAUACAUGUGUGAAUACAUAGACCACAACAUGUCCCUAGUGAGCCUCUAGUUGACUAGCUCAUUGAUCAACAGAUAGUCAUGGUUUCCUGACUAUGGACAUUGGAUGUCAUUGAUAACGAGAUCACAUCAUUAGGAGAAUGAUGUGAUGGACAAGACCCAAUCCUAAGCAUAGCACAAGAUCGUGUAGUUCCUUUGCUAGAGCUUUUCCAAAUGUCAAGUAUCAUUUCCUUAGACCAUGAGAUUGUGCAACUCAGGAUACCAUAGGAGUGCUUUGGGUGUGCCAAACGUCACAACGUAACUGGGUGAAUAUAAAGGUGCACUACGGGUAUCUCCGAAAGUGUCUGUUGGGUUGGCACGAAUCGAGACUAGGAUUUGUCACUCCGUAUGAUGGAGAGGUAUCUCUGGGCCCACUCGGUAAUGCAUCAUCAUAAUGAGCUCAAUGUGACCAAGUGUUUGGUCACGGGAUCAUGCAUUACGGUACGAGUAAAGUGACUUGCCGGUAACGAGAUUGAACAAGGUAUUGGGAUACCGACGAUCGAAUCUCGGACAAGUAACGUACCGAUUGACAAAGGGAAUUGUAUACGGGAUUGAUUGAAUCCUCGACGUCGUGGUUCAUCCGAUGAGAUCAUCGUGGAACAUGUGGAAGCCAACAUGGGUAUCCAGAUCCCGCUGUUGGUUAUUGACCGGAGAGUCGUCUCGGUCAUGUCUGCAUGUCUCCCGAACCCGUAGGGUCUACACACUUAAGGUUCGGUGACGCUAGGGUUGUAGAGAUAUUAGUAUGCGGAAAUCCGAAAGUCAUUCGGAGUCCCGGAUGAGAUCCCGGACGUCACGAGGAGUUCCGGAAUGGUCCGGAGGUGAAGAAUUGUAUAUAGGAAGUCCAGUUUCGGCCACCGGGAAAGUUUCGGGGGUCACCGGUAUUGUACCGGGACCACCGGAAGGGUCCCGGGGGGUCCAUCGGGUGGGGCCACCUAUCCCGGAGGGCCCCAUGGGCUGAAGUGGGUGGGGAACCAGCCCCUGGUGGGCUGGUGAGCCCCCCUUGGGCCUCCCCCUGCGCCUAGGGUUGGAAACCCUAGGGGUGGGGGGCGCCCCACUUGGCUUGGGGGGCAAGCCACCCCCUUGGCCGCCGCCCCCCUUGGAGAUUGGAUCUCCUAGGGCCGGCGCCCCCCAGGGGCCCUAUAUAAAGAGGGGGGAGGGAGGGCAGCCGCAGCUAAGCCCCUGGCGCCUCCCUCUCCCUCCCGUGACACCUCUCCCUCUCGCUAAACUUGGCGAAGCCCUGCCGAGAUCCCCGCUGCUUCCACCACCACGCCGUCGUGCUGCUGGAUCUCCAUCAACCUCUCCCUCCUCUUGCUGGAUCAAGAAGGAGGAGACGUCUUCCCCAACCGUACGUGUGUUGAACGCGGAGGUGCCGUCCGUUCGGCGCUCGGUCAUCGGUGAUUUGGAUCACGACGAGUACGACUCCAUCAACCCCGUUCACUUGAACGCUUCCGCUCGCGAUCUACAAGGGUAUGUAGAUGCACUCUUUUCCCUCUCGUUGCUAGAAGACUCCAUAGAUUGUUCUUGGUGAUGCGUAGAAAUUUUUUAAUUUCUGCAACGAUCCCCAACAGUGGUAUCAGAGCCAGGUUUAUGCGUAGUUUCUAUGCACGGGUAGAACACAAACUUGUUGUGGGUGUAGAUGUUGUCAAUUUUCUUGCCACUACUAGUCUUAUCUUGUUUCGGCGACAUCGUGGGAUGAAGCGUCCCGGACCGACCUUACACGUACGCUUACGUGAGACAGGUUCCACCGACUGACAUGCACUAGUUGCAUAAGGUGGCUAGCGGGUGUCUGUCUCUCCCACUUUAGUCGGAUCGGAUUCGAUGAAAAGGGUCCUUAUGAAGGGUAAAUAGAAGUUGGCAUAUCAUGUUGUGGUUUUACGUAGGUACGAAACGUUCUUGCUAGAAACCUGUAGAAGCCACGUAAAAACAUGCAACAACAAUUAGAGGACGUCUAACUUGUUUUUGCAGCAUAUGCCUUGUGAUGUGAUAUGGCCAAAAGGAUGUGAUGAAUGAAAUAUAUGUGAUGUAUGAGAUUGAUCAUGUUCUUGUAAUAGGAAUCACGACUUGCAUGUCGAUGAGUAUGACAACCGGCAUGAGCCAUAGGAGUUGUCUUUAUUUUUUGUAUGACCUGCGUGUCACUGGAUAACGCCAUGUAAAUUACUUUACUUUAUUGCUAAACACGUUAGCCAUAGAAGUAGAAGUAAUCGUUGGCGUGACAACUUCAUGAAGACACGAUGAUGGAGAUCAUGAUGAUGGAGAUCAUGGUGUCAUGCCGGUGACGAAGAUGAUCAUGGCGCCCCGAAGAUGGAGAUCAAAGGAGCAAUAUGAUACUGGCCAUAUCAUGUCACUAUUUGGUUACAUGUGAUGUUUAUCAUGUUUUACAUCUUAUUUGCUUAGAACGACGGUAGCUUAAAUAAGAUGACCCCUCGCAAUAAUUUCAAGAAAGUGUUCCCCCUAACUGUGCACCGUUGCGAAGGUUCGUUGUUUCGAAGCACCACUUGAUGAUCGGGUGUGAUAGAUUCUAACGUUCGAAUACAACGGGUGUAAGCCAGAUUUGCACACGCAAUACACUUAGGUUGACUUGACGAGCCUAGCAUGUACAGACAUGGCCUCGGAACACGGAAGACCGAAAGGUCGAGCAUGAGUCGUAUAGAAGAUACGAUCAACAUGAAGAUGUUCACCGAUGUUGACUAGUCCGUCUCACGUGAUGAUCAGACACGGCCUAGUUGAUUCGGAUCAUGUUUCACUUAGAUGACUAGAGGGAUGUCUAUCUGAGUGGGAGUUCUUUGAAUAAUUUGAUUAGAUGAACUUAAUUAUCAUGAACUUAGUCUAAAAUCUGUACAAUAUGUCUUGUAGAUCAAAUGGCCCACGCUAAUGUUGCCCUCAACUUCAACGUGUUCCUAGAGAAAACCAAGCUGAAAGAUGAUGGCAGCAACUAUACAGACUGGGUCCGGAACCUGAGGAUCAUCCUCAUAGCUGCCAAGAAAGAUUAUGUCCUAGAAGCACCGCUAGGUGAUGCACCCAUCCCAGAGAACCAAGACGUUAUGAACGCUUGGCAGCAGCGUGCUGAUGAUUACUCCCUCGUUCAGUGCGGCAUGCUUUACAGCUUAGAACCGGGGCUCCAAAAGCGUUUUGAGCAACACGGAGCAUAUGAGACGUUCGAAGAGCUGAAAAUGGUUUUCCAAGCUCAUGCCCGGGUCGAGAGAUAUGAAGUCUCCGACAAGUUCUUCAGUUGUAAGAUGGAGGGAAAUAGUUCUGUCAGUGAGCACAUACUCAAAAUGUCUGGGUUACACAACCGCUUGACUCAGCUGGGAGUUAAUCUCCCGGAUGACGCGGUCACUGACAGAAUCCUUCAGUCGCUUCCACCGAGCUACAAGAGCUUUGUGAUGAACUUCAAUAUGCAGGGGAUGGAAAAGACCAUUCCUGAGGUAUAUUCAAUGUUGAAAUCAGCGGAGGUGGAGAUCAAAAAGGAACAUCAAGUGUUGAUGGUGAAUAAAACCACUAAGUUCAAGAAAGGCAAGGGUAAGAAGAACUUCAAGAAGGACGGCAAGGGAGUUGCCGCGCCCGGUAAGCCAGUUGCCGGGAAGAAGCCAAAGAAUGGACCCAAGCCUGAGACUGAGUGCUUUUAUUGCAAGGGAAGUGGUCACUGGAAGCGGAACUGCCCCAAGUACUUGGCGGACAAGAAGGCCGGCAACACCAAAGGUAUAUGUGAUAUACAUGUUAUUGAUGUCUACCUUACCAGCACUCGUAGUAGCUCCUGGGUAUUUGAUACCGGUGCGGUUGCUCAUAUUUGUAACUCGAAGCAGGAGCUGCGGAAUAAACGGAGACUGGCAAAGGACAAGGUGACGAUGCGCGUCGGGAAUGGUUCCAAGGUCGAUGUGAUCGCCGUCGGCACGCUACCUCUACAUUUACCUACGGAAUUAGUUUUAAACCUCAAUAAUUGUUAUUUAGUGCCAGCUUUGAGCAUGAACAUUGUAUCAGGAUCUCGUUUAAUUCGAGAUGGCUACUCAUUUAAAUCCAAGAAUAAUGGUUGUUCUAUUUAUAUGAGAGAUAUGUUUUAUGGUCAUGCCCCGCUGGUUAAUGGUUUAUUCUUAAUGAAUCUCGAACGUAGUGUUACACAUAUUCAUAGUGUGAAUACCAAAAGAUGUAAGGUUGAUAAUGAUAGUCCCACAUACUUGUGGCACUGCCGUCUUGGUCACAUUGGUGUCAAACGCAUGAAGAAGCUCCAUGCAGAUGGACUUUUGGAGUCUCUUGAUUACGAAUCAUUUGACACGUGCAAACCAUGCCUCAUGGGUAAGAUGACCAAGACUCCGUUCUCCGGAACAAUGGAGCAAGCAACCAACUUAUUGGAAAUCAUACAUACUGAUGUGUGCGGUCCAAUGAGUGUUGAGGCUCGCGGUGGCUAUCGUUAUGUUCUCACUCUCACUGAUGACUUGAGUAGAUAUGGGUAUGUCUACCUAAUGAAACACAAGUCUGAUACCUUUGAAAAGUUCAAGGAAUUUCAGAGUGAGGUUGAGAAUCAACGUGACAGGAAAAUAAAGUUCUUACGACCAGAUCGUGGAGGGGAAUAUUUGAGUCACGAAUUUGGCACACACUUAAGGAAAUGUGGAAUAGUUUCACAACUCACGCCGCCUGGAACACCUCAGCGAAAUGGUGUGUCCGAACAUCGUAAUCGCACUCUAUUGGAUAUGGUGCGAUCUAUGAUGUCUCUUACCGAGCUACCGCUCUCAUUUUGGGGCUAUGCUUUAGAGACUGCCGCAUUCACUUUAAAUAGGGCUCCGUCGAAAUCCGUUGAGACGACACCGUAUGAAUUAUGGUUUGGGAAGAAACCUAAGCUGUCGUUUCUAAAAGUUUGGGGAUGCGAUGCUUAUGUCAAGAAACUUCAACCUGAAAAGCUCGAACCCAAGUCAAAAAAAUGCGUCUUCAUAGGAUACCCUAAGGAAACCAUUGGGUAUACCUUCUACCUCAGAUCCGAAGGCAAGAUCUUUGUUGCCAAGAACGGGUCCUUUCUGGAGAAAGAGUUUCUCUCGAAAGAAGUAAGUGGGAGGAAAGUGGAACUUGAUGAAGUACUACCUCUUGAACUGGAAAGUAGCGCAGCUCAGGAAGAUGUUCCUGUGGUGCCUGCACUGACUAGAGAGGAAGCUAAUGAUGAUGAUCAAGGUACUUCGGAUCAAGUUACUACUGAACUUCGUAGGUCCACGAGGACACGUUCCACACCAGAGUGGUAUGGCAACCCUGUCCUAGAAAUGAUGUUGUUAGACAACGGUGAACCUUCGAACUAUGAAGAAGCAAUGGCGGGCCCAGAUUCCAACAAAUGGCUUGAAGCCAUGCAAUCCGAGAUAGGAUCCAUGUAUGAAAACAAAGUGUGGACUUUGACAGACUUGCCCGAGGAUCGGCGAGUGAUAGAAAACAAAUGGAUCUUUAAGAAGAAGACGGACGCGGAUGGUAAUGUUACCAUCUAUAAAGCUCGACUUGUCGCUAAGGGUUAUCGACAAGUUCAAGGGGUUGACUACGAUGAGACUUUCUCACCCGUAGCGAAGCUGAAGUCCGUCCGAAUCAUGUUAGCAAUUGCCGCAUACUAUGAUUAUGACAUAUGGCAAAUGGACGUCAAAACGGCAUUCCUUAACGGCUUUCUUAAGGAAGAAUUGUAUGUGAUGCAGCCGGAAGGUUUUGUCGAUCCUAAGAAUGCUAACAAGGUAUGCAAGCUCUAGCGCUCCAUCUAUGGGCUGGUGCAAGCAUCUCGGAGUUGGAACAUUCGAUUUGAUGAGAUGAUCAAAGCGUUUGGGUUUACACAGACUUAUGGAGAAGCCUGUGUUUACAAGAAAGUGAGUGGGAGCUCUGUAGCAUUUCUCAUAUUAUAUGUGGAUGACAUACUGUUGAUGGGAAUUGAUAUAGAAUUCUUGGGAAGCAUAAAGGCCUACUUGAACAAGUGUUUUUCAAUGAAGGGCCUUGGAGAAGCUGCUUAUAUAUUAGGCAUCAAGAUCUAUAGAGAUAGAUCAAGACGCCUCAUUGGUCUUUCACAAAGUACGUACCUUGACAAGAUAUUAAAGAAGUUCAAUAUGGAUCAGUCCAAGAAGGGGUUCUUGCCUGUAUUGCAAGGUGUGCAAUUGAGCACGGCUCAAUGCUCGACCCCGGCAGAAGAUAGAGAAAAGAUGAGUGUCGUCCCCUAUGCCUCGGCCAUAGGGUCUAUUAUGUAUGCCAUGUUGUGUACCAGACCUGAUGUAAACCUUGCCGUAAGUUUACCAAAGUAAUCCCGGCAUGGAACACUGGACAGCGGUCAAGAAUAUCCUGAAGUACCUGAAGAGGACUAAGGAUAUGUUUCUCGUUUAUGGAGGUGACGAAGAGCUCGUCGUAAAGGGUUACGUCGAUGCUAGCUUCGACACAGAUCUGGAUGACUCUAAGUCACAAACCGGAUACGUGUAUAUUUUGAAUGGUGGGGCAGUAAGCUGGUGCAGUUGCAAGCAAAGCGUUGUGGCGGGAUCUAUAUGUGAAGUGGAAUACAUGGCGGCCUCAGAGGCAGCACAAGAAGCAAUCUGGGUGAAGGAGUUCAUUACCGACCUAGGAGUUAUUCCCAAUGCGUCGGGCCCGAUGACUCUCUUCUGUGACAACACUGGAGCUAUUGCCCUUGCCAAGGAGCCCAGGUUUCACAGGAAGACCAGGCAUAUCAAGCGUCGCUUCAACUCCAUUCGUGAAAAUGUUCAAAAUGGAGACAUAGAUAUUUGUAAAGUACAUACGGACCUGAAUGUAGCAGAUCCGUUGACUAAACCUCUCCCUAGAGCAAAACAUGAUCAACACCAAAACUCUAUGGGUGUUCGAUUCAUCACAAUGUAACUAGAUUAUUGACUCUAGUGCAAGUGGGAGACUGUUGGAAAUACGCCCUAGAGGCAAUAAUAAAAUGGUUAUUAUUAUAUUUCCUUGUUCAUGAUAAUUGUCUAUUGUUCAUGCUAUAAUUGUGUUAUCCGGAAAUCGUAAUACAUGUGUGAAUACAUAGACCACAACAUGUCCCUAGUGAGCCUCUAGUUGACUAGCUCGUUGAUCAACAGAUAGUGAUGGUUUCCUGACUAUGGACAUUGGAUGUCAUUGAUAACGGGAUCACAUCAUUAGGAGAAUGAUGUGAUGGACAAGACCCAAUCCUAAGCAUAGCACAAGAUCGUGUAGUUCGUUUUCUAGAGUUUUUCCAAAUGUCAAGUAUCAUUUCCUUAGACCAUGAGAUUGUGCAACUCAGGAUACCAUAGGAGUGCUUUGGGUGUGCCAAACGUCACAACGUAACUGGGUGGCUAUAAAGGUGCACUACGGGUAUCUCCGAAAGUGUCUGUUGGGUUGGCACGAAUCGAGACUGGGAUUUGUCACUCCGUAUGACGGAGAGGUAUCUCUGAGCCCACUCGGUAAUGCAUCAUCAUAAUGAGCUCAAUGUGACCAAGUGUUUGGUCACGGGAUCAUGCAUUACGGUACGAGUAAAGUGACUUGCCGGUAACGAGAUUGAACAAGGUAUUGGGAUACCGACGAUCGAAUCUCGGACAAGUAACGUACCGAUUGACAAAGGGAAUUGUAUACGGGAUUGAUUGAAUCCUCGACAUCAUGGUUCAUCCGAUGAGAUCAUCGUGGAACAUGUGGGAGCCAACAUGGGUAUCCAGAUCCUGCUGUUGGUUAUUGAUCGGAGAGUCGUCUCGGUCAUGUCUGCAUGUCUCCCGAACCCAUAGGGUCUACACACUUAAGGUUCAGUGACUCUAGGGUUGUAGAGAUAUUAGUAUGCGGAAAUCCGAAAGUCGUUCGGAGUCCCGGAUGAGAUCCCGGACGUCACGAGGAGUUCCGGAAUGGUCCGGAGGUGAAGAAUUGUAUAUAGGGAGUCCAGUUUCGGCCACCGGGAAAGUUUCGGGGGUCACCGAUAUUGUACCGGGACCACCGGAAGGGUCCCGGGGGCUCCACAGGGUGGGGCCACCUAUCCCGGAGGGCCCCAUGGGCUGAAGUGGGUGGGGAACCAGCCCCUGGUGGGCUGGUGCGCCCCCUUGGGCCUCCCCCUGCGCCUAGGGUUGGAAACCCUAGGGGUGGGGGGCGCCCCACAUGGCUUGGGGGGCAAGCCACCCCCUUGGCCGCCGCCCCCCUUGGAGGUUGGAUCUCCUAGGGCCGGCGCCCCCCAGGGGCCCUAUAUAAAGAGGGGGGAGGGAGGGCAGCUGCAGCUAAGCCCCUGGCGCCUCCCUCUCCCUCCCGUGACACCUCUCCCUCUCGCUGAGCUUGGCGAAGCCCUGCCGAGAUCCCCGCUGCUUCCACCACCACGCCGUCGUGCUGCUGGAUCUCCAUCAACCUCUCCCUCCCCUUGCUGGAUCAAGAAGGAGGAGACGUCUUCCCCAACUGUACGUGUGUUGAACGCGGAGGUGCCGUCCGUUCGGCGCUCGGUCAUCGGUGAUUUGGAUCACGACGAGUACGACUCCAUCAACCCCGUUCACUUGAACGCUUCCGCUCGCGAUCUACAAGGGUAUGUAGAUGCACUCUUUUCCCUCUCGUUGCUAGAAGACUUCAUAGAUUGUUCUUGGUGAUGCGUAGAAAAAAUUUAAUUUCUGCAACGAUCCCCAACACGUUUUGCGGUACGCCACACCCCUCCCGAUCAACAGGACCCCGUUUCGACUGUAGGCGCUCCAACACUAGUCCGUUUCCUCCGUUUUGCGGUACACCCCACCCCUCCCGAUCAACAGGACUCCAUUUCGACCGUACGCGGUCGAACACAAGUCCAUUUCCUCCGUUUUGCGGUACACCAGACCCUUCCCGAUGAACAGGUCCCCGUUUCGACAGUAUGCGGUCGAACAAAAGGCCCGUUUCCACUGUUCUGCGGUACACCAGACCUCAUUUCGGCUGUUCCGUCCAAGCCGGUUGGCUCCCGAUGAACACGACAUAUUCUGUUGCCUCCCGAUGAACACGAUGCAUUCCGUUUCCUCUCCAUGAACACGACGCAAUUUCUUCGUUCCGACCCAGCCGGUUGGCUUCCGAUGAACAUGAUUAGUCGCUGUACGCAUUAGAGACCCCGCCCGUAUGUACGUACGUAGCCGUAUUUACUGUCUUGCAGCAUGGACGUACGUACGUGUACACGAUAUAGACGGGACUGCGUGACAUGCUACGUCGGCGCCUCUACUUCAACACUUGCCGCUCCUUACUCAGCCAUGGUACGUCGCCGCAGAGACACCGAUCGACCGCUAUGUACGUACAUGUUCGCGGCCGGACAAAUAACGCUACCUUCGCUUCAACCUGGUGGGUCCCCGCUGUCAGGGGGUAAGAAGGCAGUUCAUUCCGUGCGAAGAUAAAGCCGGUGGGUCCCAGCUAUCAGGGGGAACUUUUUUUCGCGAAAUACAGAGGCCCUUCCGGUAGGUCCGAGGUGUCAGGUGGAGGAAUCAUUAUUUUGCGCGUAAUAAGGAGGCACUUCCUUGUGUGCGGCCAUGGACCCAGCUGUCAGCCUCUCCACUUACUGUCUCUUCUGAUGUCUGUCGUUCGUUGACCGCAUUGACAACGCCGUACGACCUGAGAGCACCAAGGUGGUGGACGACGGGCGACCUAGGAAGGGAACGACCCAGAGCCGGGGAAUACACAGUAGUGGAUGCCCACACGGAGGGGAGUACGCGGGUUGACUGCUUCGGCCGCGGUUUCAGGCUGCUGUCUCCAGAGAAUAACAGGGGGUGUGGGUGAGUAGAGGGAAGGCCUGGCCAGUAGUAGUAUGGUCGGGCGGUGAGGCCUGCGUGGCAGCACAGCUGGCCACGGGAGGCUGGAGCAGGCGGUAUGGCGAGCGCAGGUUUGGGCGGCUGGAGCAACAAGACCUGAGGUUGAAGACACAACUUGGCCGUUGGAUUAACAUCCAACGGUCAGUGCAGCUAGUAUCGUUUAUUGACUAAGUUGACAAAGCCCUGCAUACACAUUAACUUAGUAGGCCCACAAGUCAGCCUCCAAAUCUGGUGGGUCCCAGCUAGCAGGGGGAAUCAUUUUUUUCGCGUAAUAAGGUGGCACUUCCUUGCGUGCGAAGAUGUUUUCUGGUUUUCUUGUUUCUUCUUUUUCAAGUUAGAAUAAAAAUAAAACAAUUUAGCAUCUUUGGUACAAUCUAUAUUUUCAUGAAAAGGAUCAUAAUAAAGCUGGUGGGUCCCAGCUAUCAGGGAAAGAAAACUUUUUAUUUCCGCGUAAUAAAGGAAGCACUUCCUUGCGUGCGAAGAUGUAGCUGGUGGGUCAAACCUAUCAGGGGGAGAAAUUAUUUGUUUUCACAUAAUACGGGGGCACUUGCUGCAUGCGGCCAUGGGCCAUGUGGGUCCCUACUGUCAGCCAACCCACGUACAUGCCUCAUCUGAUGGCUGUCAUUUGUUGACAAAGUUGACCACGCCACGCUGAGAGAACCAACGCAGUGAACGAUGGCGAGUAUUACGAAGGGAACGACCCGGAGCCGGCGAUGACACAACAGUGGAUGCCCACGCGGAGGGGAGUACGAGGGUUCACUGGUUCGGCUGCGGUGUGAGGCUGCCAUCACCGGUGAAGAACAGAAGGUGUUGGUGAGUAGUGGAAUGGCUUGGACGGUGUUUGGGAGUAGGGUGGGCCGAUGAAGCCUGCACGACACACUACUGCAGGAUGCUGCUAACAAGACACUACGAUCAGAGACCCUUAGAGAAACUGUGUGCGAUGCAAUAAUUGCAAACGGUGGUGUAUGAAAACCGUCAGAAAUGUAUAAAACGUUUGCGAUGACGGAUGCAUCAAACACGGUUUAGGUUUUAGUUGCGUGUGCGAUGAAGGGCAUACAGUUCAGUUAAUUAACUGUUUGCGAUGAGGAGGAACAAAUGAAACGGGCAGCCAGAUGAAGGCGCGUGCGAUACACAGCAUACGGUUCACUCGGAUGAACUGUUUGUGAUUAGGCAACACAAAAGAAACGGGCAACCAGAGGAAGGUGUGUGCGAUAUACAGCAUACGGUUCACUCGGAUGAACUGUUUGUGAUUAGGCAACAUAAAAGAAAUGGUCAGCCAGAUCAAGGUGUGUGCGAUAUACGCAUGCGGUUCACUCGGCCCUUGUCGUCAGUGUGUGACCUCUAUGGCAACCGUUCGCUCCCCAGGCGCCUCUUCGUGUACCGUGGCAACCAUCCACCGCAUCUUCGCCUUUCCCUCUUGAUUUGGAACUGCUGUCGCAUGCUCUUCCUCCCUCCAUUUGCCUUCACCCUUCCUUCUGCCAUUGUUCGAUCAUCUUUUGCAUGGAGGGAACAGGCCGGAAACGACCCCCGUUAUUCUUGCCCGAUCUGAAAGAUGACAUGGUUGAGGAACCCAUUGAUCGGUGCGACGUCAUCACCUCGGCUAGCAUGGCAGGUUCGUUCAGGACCAUUCUCGACUCAAUUAAUAACAUCAUUACAAGGAACCCAAGGGUCCAGGAGCGGUUUGAUCUCCCCUAUCUUCUUCGCCGUGACCCUGCUGACUGGCGCGGGGACGAGGGAAGCCUCGCCUUGUGCAAGUUGAUGCCGCUUGAUAAUGAUACGUAUGAUGUUAAGAUGCCAUCACUUGAGGGCAAGGCUUGGGCAGGCGCAAAUGGAGAUUGGGUUGUUUAUAUUGGGUACAACUGCGAGUGGGAACUUGUGAAUGUGUACACUCGUCACCGGGUUCCACUUCCAAAAAUCUCAGACGACUGCCCAGAGGUUGAGUACACCGGUAUUCUGCGUGAGUUCAAAUACGGUCAUGGUGACGGCGGCCAUCUUCUCAGCUGCAGCGAGAAGCUUCUCCCUGGCCUCCAGCCGAGCUUUGUCUUCAGUGCCAAGCUUGGUGUGGGAUGCCUAGGCCGCCUCCACUUCCUCCUUCAGCUUGUCCAGGCGACCGCGUUUCGUGGCCUGCUCCCAAGCCACCUACUCAAGCUCGGCGUCACGGUCGGCAACCGCAGCUUCCCGGGCCUUCAGCUUCUCCUCCCGUUCCUCAAGCUGGUGGGCAUGGGUGGCCUGCUCGUCACAAAGGGUUUUCAGCUCGGCCUCCGCUACGCGGCAGCGCUCCCCGGCGGCCUUGGCGUCCUUCAACGCCGCGUCGCGAGCGGCUGCGGCUAGUCCGUCCACCUUCUGGCCCUCUUAUGAGGCCGCCACGGCCUGGGUCCAGGCCGCCCUGAUGGACGAGUCGGCCUGAAGCCACCCUGAGACCAACUGCAGGCGCCCCGACGCCCUGCGCCGGUCUGGAUCCUGAAGAUCAUCCCGAAGCUGGUCCAGAGAAGAGAAGGCCUCCUCCAAAGCAUCGGGCACGGCAGAAGAACCACGGCCCGGCGGCGUGAUGGACGGGAGAGGAGACGGUGCCAGCGUCGAGACUGGCGCAGCAGCAGCAGCAAGGAUAGCCGGGGGCUCCGAAGCCACCGAGUCCUCAGCAGGCGAGCUGAGGGCGAGCGCCUCCGGAGUCGGCCCGGCUGCAGGGGCUGUCUUCUCCUAAGGUUGGGCACCCGAGCCUCGGGAGUGCGACCCUACCACGGGAGCGCGCGGGGCAGUCUCGUCCUUUUGAGUCGGAGUCACUGCAACCACAGCAGGCCACUUGGCCGCGGCGGCCCCAGCAUCCUCCUUCUUCCUUUUCGCCACCGGCGUUGGCCUGGCCGCAGAGAGGAAAAUGUCAGAACACUACAUCAAGAGCAGGAAGCAAAGACAAGAUGGCGCACUUACUGGUCCGUGGCAACAUACUCCCUCGUCCUCUUCAGGAGCGCGACGCCUGCAGGCUUCCUGGGCAUGGGCGCCGUCGUGCCCUCAGGGGCAGACGAGUGCGCGGCAGGCUUUGCGAUGAAGGCCAGCGACGAAGCAGAAGCGCCACCUCGGGGAAGCAAUGCCGACCUGUCCUUCUUCGGGUCACUUGCCUCAGCCCCUUCAGAGGGGUGCGCCCGGACCUCGUGGCGACCCUGGUGGAGCACUCCCUGACUGGAUGCUCGCCGUCGUCGUCAUCGUCGGAGAGGCCGCGGAGGAGAUCGGUCUAUCGCGGGGGAUAAGUCUCUCCUACCCCUUCCCAGGUCGCCUCCGAGUCCGCCUUCUCCUCCUCGCCAGACUCGCUGGAGGACACCGUCACCAGGGAGCCCAAGGGUUGGGAAGGCUCCAGUGGCACGAGCCCUCGCUCGUUGAAGACCGGCAUGGCGGCGGCUAUCUUCUCUCCGUUGGCACGAAGGUCCAACGAGAGAUGGGUGUACGGGGGGCCACCUUGGUCCUUCGAGAGCAAGGUGUGCACGAGCUUGCCCAGCUCCUCAUCUGACAGGUUGUCCGGGCGUAACCGGAGGUCAUCUUCCGCGCCCUUGAAACUCCACAGAGGGCGCGAGUGCGCCUGGAGCGGAGCCAGGCGCUGCGUCAGGAACUCCUUGACGAUCAUGGCCCCCGUCUGCCUCUCCACCUUUGGGUCCUCCGCCUUCAGGUCGGCCGUCAUCCUCUCUAGCAACUGCUUCGCCCGGGGGUCGGGGAGCUUCUCGUGAGCCCAUCCAUCCCGGGGAGUCGGCAGACCGGUCGGCUGCUCCAGCCGAGGAUAGGAGCGCUUGACGUCCAUGAAGAUCCACUUGUUCCAGAAGUCCUCCACUUUCUUCCUGGCCCGAGAGAUCGUGUUGCUGUCGUUGGCCGCGAUGAAGCAGGCACACCCAGAGUACUGACCGCUGCUCGUCCGGAGGUAGAAGAAGUGGCAGAACAGCGCAACGGAGGGCAUCACCCCCACGAACGCCUCGCAAUAGAAGGCGAAGAUCGACAGGAGGAGAAUGGAGUUGGGAUGAAGAUGGAGGGCGUCGAGCCCAUAAUGGCGGAGGAUGGCAUUGAAGAAACCGGAGAAGGGGGGAACCAGCCUAGCGAAGACGUUGUGCAGGAAGAAGGGGUAGAAGGUGUCGCCCAAGGUUUCUGGCUUGGCGGAGCCGACCCGGAGCGCCGUCUCUCACCUCUCGUUGCUGCUGCACGCCGUCAGCUAGAGCGCGGCAGCGAGGUGCUUCUCCUCGGCGAGGGUGGACGCGCUCAGGGCUGGCUUGAACCAAGAAGCCGGGUGCGCGGUCGGAGGCGAAGACUUCGCCUUUCAGUGGCCAUCGGUGGCAAGCUCAGGGAAGAGAUCGGCAGAUUUGGAGGUUUUCUGGACAGAAGGAGAAGGGGAUCCAAAGAAAGACGAAGGAAACGCAAUGAAGGCUCAGUGGCAGGCGCCAGCCUUUUUGUCAGCCAGGAACGGUUACCGAGGCCGCGUGGGGAAGCGGAGACGCCCACAUCCCAUCAAUCGCCACGCGUCAACCAUGGCCACAGGCGGUUAGGGCCUGCGGCGCUCCGCACUUGCCCUUUGGCUUCACCUCGAAGCCAAGUCCGAGCACGCCUUGGGCCCGGGGGCUACUAUCGGCGUUCUGGGAACGGGGGUACCCAGACUUGCCUGCUUGCGGCCCACGGCGUGGCUCCACAAACGGCCCGGUACGACCAAGCUUUGACAUCAACAAUGCAAGACCCUCGCGAGGCGGACGACACCAAGACCUCCACGAGGAGCAGUCUCCUUAGGCUGGCUCCCGAGGAGCGGAGAUCUCUAUGCAAGAUGCGCCUCGUGAGGUUCGGGUGACACGAGCUAUGACGAUCAAGGCCAGGCGGGCGCCAGCGGGCGCAGAGUACCAGUUUCCUCUUUGGUGCUAAGGAAGCAAGCGCAGGCGCGGAGUCCCGAGGAGUCAGCCAAAUGUUUCCAUUCCGGGGCAACAAGACCAAGACCGCAGAAUGGCAGGGCGGAGGUCAUCGCCGAGCCCACCACGGUGUCACGACCAGAGGCUUUUGCAAGCGAAGACUACUUUUGUCAGGAUAGCUUGUACUAGUUGUCUCCCAUCGAAUUUGGCCGUUGUGGGAUCCCUUCCCGCCUUUAUUUGGGAAGAGGACCAAGGCCACUAUAAAUAGGACCUAGCCACCACCAUAGGGGAGGGGAUCAUUCAGAUCAUACUCUCCCUCAUCAGCUCAAGAACACUCCUCCUCCAGAGGUUGUUCCCCCACUGGACUUGUUCAUCCUCAGCCCCUCGAGGCCAAUCCACCACAAAGCAGGAGUAGGGUUUUACACCGCAAGGUGGCCCGAACCUAGGUAAACUGUUGUGUCUCGUCUCCUUCCCGUUCAUCGAGUUAGGCCGUGAGAUUGGCGAGUAGGCAGACUGGGGAGGUUGAGUUCUUCUCACGCACCCCAGAGUUCGAACCUCUCAAGGGUCUGUGGAACCCGAAAUCCGACAGCUGCACCCUAACGUCGUUGACGGCAUCGAGCUUCCACAGCCGGAAGCGGAGUUCCACACAGACACUGGUGACAACUCAGGUGAAGACCCCGGCGACGACUCCGACGACCAGUCCGGCGACGACUCCAAUGACGACGGACAACUAGUUAGUCAUCUAUCCCCAUUUAUGUGUCAAAUAGAUCCUACAGUUUCCCUGGUUACUCUUGCCUCCCCAUUUUUGGAAUAGAAAUCCAAUGGUUAUGUUCUCCCUAUCCAUGAAAUCCGAGUAAGUUUCAUUAGAUCCGUGUAGUGUAUUGAUUGUUUAAAUGGUACAAGUGAUAAGUGAUUAGUUGUUUCAUCCGUGCAAAUGAUUUCUGCUAGUAAUACGACUAGGGUUAGUGUUCGUGCUAAUAAUUCCUAUCAAGGACUUGACAAUUGAUUUUGAAUGACCUACAUAUAUGUUUGUGCCAUUAUUUUCUUCAACAUUGGUCUGUAUAGACGACUAUGCUUAAAAAUCGAAACAUAAUCUCUGGAUAUGUAUAAAAAAGAGCCAUAAAUUCCUAAUCCUACUUCACGACAUGUAAACAUUGAUUUGAUGCCAAAUUUGUUUUACUAUUUGUAUAGGUGCUGUCUGAUGAUGUGGACAGCGAGGAUGAAGAUGGCCAGAGGAGGUACAAGAGGCAAAUCCUGAGGGAGCUUUAUGCGGGAAUGCAUAACAGGCGUAUUAGGACCUAGAACGGCGGCUAUCGAUGCCCAUUUUGCAAGUUCAAGUUUCAUGACGCAUAUCUAAGUGUUCUAGUGCAUGUAAGAGGACGGGCCGUUGGCUCCUUCAAGUAGAAGUAUUCUCGCAGGGUGGCGCACGGCGCGUACGCCGAGUACCUGGAGAAGCUUCAGGAUCAUGCCGGCAGAUGAGAUGAGAUAUGGGAUCGAACUAUGUACGCUUGAUUAUGCUUAAUGACGGUUGAACUAUGUACUUAUGGUUGAACUAUGCUUGUGUAUGCAUAUUAUCUAUGUCUGAGUAUGUGUAAUCUAUGUUUACUUAUGUCUAAAUGUGGGAUAUGGAUGCAAUCAGUUCGGUUGAUGGAAUCUACCUCUGUCCUGGUUUAUUGGCCCCCUUUGUAAUUUGUGUUAAAUUUUGACCAAAGAUUUAACUGACAAAUGUUAGAUCAGGUAAGCAAAAAUUAUAUCAUUGGAUGCAUAUUUGAACAUAGUGUUCAAUGAUAUAAUUUUUUGUGAUAUGCAUAAAAAUUUCUUAGUUAAAUAUUUGGUCAAAAAUUUGGUGCAAAUUACAAAGUGGACCAAUAAACCAGGACGGAGGUAGUACGUCAAUCACAUACGGUUCCCAAAAUUGGAACCAUGUGCAAUGACUUUCAUAUUUCCUGUUGCAUCAAUCACACAUGGUUGGCUCUAGCAAACCGUUGCCUCUGAUAUUCUUUGUGGGACAGAAAACCCUCACCACCCAAUUCAAAAAAGAAAAAGGAAACCCUCACCAUCCCCAUGUCACAAAAACCCUCACCCCGCUCGCCACCCCCUACGGUCCUCAUUCGCACCUACACAAGCUCCUCUCCAUCUAUGCAUGGCACCGCCUAUCUUGGUGGUAACCACUUAGCUCGACGCCUACCGCUGGGCUGCCGUCAAACCCCACCGCAUUUCGCCACUUCCGCUUGCCGCCGCCUAUCGCUAUCGACUUUCUCGACGCUGCUCGCGGUCGACCCAGCUCCGUUCGGUUUGGGAAUCUGCCGUACUGAGGGUUCUUUCUCAUGGCAACAAGGUAACUAAUUUAAUGAGAUAUUAUCUCAUCUCUUAUCCUAGUUCAUCCACCUCCUUUAAUUACCCGGCCGAAAUCGCCGUGAAUUCAUUUUUAUUUGAGUUGAUUUGAGGGUUUUCUUUCAUUCAUAGAGUGUACAGUGCGCGGACACAUCAGGACUUUGCGGCCUCCGCCGGACAUUCCAUCUCACCGUACCAGAUGACUUGAGGAUGCGCACGGUAUGUUCAAUCUCACCCUAAAUCGUUGGCAUGGCCUACUUUCCUGAACAUAUUCUAAAUAUUGCUACAUUUGGAUAAAAGGUGCCACAUGCACCAUAUACACUGGUACGCGUCUGUGCUAAACAAACGGUUUUAACCCCUUUCCGCGAUGACAUUUGGAACCGUCGCCAAGUGAGUGUGGGCGAUAGUGGUUCCUUCCCACACGACCCAGAAACCGUCAGGGAUAUGCGCUCCUGGCACACAUGCUCGGCAAUAUGAGGUCGUGUGCGACCGGCGAGCGCUCAAAUACAGAAAUACGUAAAGUAGAGCUAAAAAAAUACAAUUAUACGACGAAAUUGUUUCCAAUCGCAAGUACAUCCCACACAGUCAGUCCCCGCUAAAUGUUUUUCUGGUAUGUACAUCCCACAUAGUCGCUCCAAGGAAGACGUUUCCGUUCACAGGUACAUCACACACAAUUUUUCCCGUUAAAUCGUUUGUGAUAGCGUUGCCAUUGCACAUGAUAUUAAUAAUUUUAUCGUUUGCGUUAUUGAAUGCAUCACAUACGGUGCGUAGAAGAAACUGUGUGGCAAAGGCUGUCCAUCACACACACUUUUUAUGUGGUAAACGUUUGCGCAAGGUGGCCUAACGCAAACACUUUUCAAGAGAAAGUCGUGUGUGCAGUGGAGAUUGAUCGCACACGUAGUGGAUCCUAGAAACGUUUCUGAUCUCCACGUAUAUCACAGACGUUUCACUUUCGCAAACCGUGUGCAGUGUAAUCCCUAAUUAAUCCCUAAUUUAAAAAUCACAUGUUUUGAAUUUGAAAGUAGGAAAUCUCUUAUUUUAUAUCCAACCAUGUUUAUUACAAAUAUAGGUUCAACCACGAAUCCAUAAUUCGAUGCACGGGUACAUAUACUGAGGAACUACAGAAGCACCAAGUAAAGAAUGGUGAACCACAGUUGUAAUAAAGACUAUAAAGAGAGAGGCGAAAGACAUUCUGGUUGCUGGAGAAGGUGAAGCAGAAUGCCCAUAUUGUGCCCUCCUCCAUGCGUAAUGCGCGCACGACUCUAGGCCAACCCCUUGUGAUGGUUGUCCGUCCAUCCUUCACUGUGUUCAUUAGGACUUCUCGAUGCUCAUUGUAGUCUGGAUGAAAUGCUUUAACCUUCAUUGUGUGUCCACCAAUCAUGUACUUUGCGAGGUAAUCUCGAGUGAAUUGCUUCAGGAACCACUGGGAACAAAAAGAUUCAGACAUUGUUGUCCAACAACUCAUUAUGUGCAGUAAAAAUAGAAGGCUGCAGAGUUUGUAGUUACCAUCCUACAGCUCACUGUUGUGUUGGAUAGAGCAUAAACAAAUAAUUUGCUUGCCACCAUUCGUAUCUUUUUGCUAAUAAUCCUUAUUAGUUUCCUCACUUGAUGCUUGUUCAUCAAUAUCUCAUUGCCCCAUACGCAAAAAGGGUCGAUGCGUGGAUCCUUGCCAAGGGCAUAUGUACCUACAAGCAACAAGUCAAUAUUAGAAGCUAACAAGUGUCCAUGCCUGGAUCUAUAUGCACUAUAUUAUGGAACGACGGGGGGAGGGAUGAAGCUAACCUCGGCGGAAAAUGGUGGCCACUCCCGCUGUUGUCCUGCAUAAGUAGUGGAAAGGCAUGAUAAGUACAACAAUCUUAACAUCAAACAAAUAUAGCAAAGGUAAACAACAUCAUCGCCAAAUGAUAGCUUGAAUGUGUUGGUUUCAGCAUGCUAUUAAAGCAGAUAUAAAAUGGAAGGCAAUGUUACCGACAGCAGGCUUAACAGCCAUCAAAUAUUGCAAUUCAAACUGGUAUUGUUGAAAAUGAAUAGAACGUAGGUAAUGCUUAAACAUCACACUGGAUAAAUGUGUAAAACUGAAAUAAAGGGCAUGUGUUAACUACACCAGGAAUAACUGGAACCAAAUAUAGCCGUUCAAACUGGUAUUGAUGUAGUCGAGCGGCACAGUUCCGACUUGCACAUAAUGAACAACACAUUGUGAAUGACUAAAAUAAACAAGGCAUAAAUGACCAGUAUAACAACUAAAUAUGGCCAUUGAAAACUAGACAGAGUCUCACUGCAACCAACCUAACAAGCAAAUAGAGAUAAACAUGGCAUAUGCUUGAAAACUGGACAAAUGCUCACUGCAACCAACCUAACAAGCAGAUAAAGAUAAACAAGGCAUCUGUUUGAUAACUGGACAAAUGCUAAAAAAUAGCAACCUAACAACCAAAUAUAGAUAAACAAGGCAUCUGCUUGAUAACUGGACAAAUGCUAAAAAAAGCAACCUAACAACAAAAUACAGAUAAACAAGGCAUCUGCUUGAUAACUGGACAAAUACUCAUUGCAACCAAACAAAGAACCAAAUACAGAUAAACAAGGCAUCUGCUCGAUAACUGAAAAAUGCUCACUCCAACCAACCUAACAACCAAAUACAGAAAAACAAGGCAUCUACUCACUAUAAACAACCAAAUAUAGCCAUUCAUGAAACUAAAGUGGACAAUUCAUACUUAAACAUCACAUAGACCUAUUGAAAAAUACAUUUUUGCAUAACUAAAAUAAUUAAACACGUCACAGUUAAAGCACCGCACGACAAAUGCUACUACAACAAAGGGUACGGGUUGGCAAGCUAGAAAAGGUAAGAUUUGCUGAUAGAAUGUUGCCUCACAUUUCAUGGACGGGAUCCUUCCAGUUGGAAGAGCACAGACCCGUGGUGCCCUCUUUGAUGUCACAGAUGGGCUUUUUCACCUUGGAAGAACCUUCGUGGGUGCCCUCCUCGUGGUCGUGGUCGAUGAGAUCUGACUAGGCAAUUGAGGAUCCCAAGCCGCCGCCAUAGAACGUGUCCUUCAGUAGUGACAAAAUGGGCUCAAUGGCGUAUAAAGCUAGCAAAUCCUUGACCGCUCGGCGGAGGAGAUCAGCGGCAUGGCCAUCGAAGAGAUCGAUGGUGGUUGAACCAAAGGGGUUGGGGAUGGACCACUUAACCGGUGACAUGGCCCGCGUGAAGCCGUCGGUGUGGACGAGCUUGAUGUCGUAGCCAGCUUUCCCGAGAUACAGUAAUACACUAGUCGACUGACAUGAAGCCUUCGGCAUGACAACGUAGUCAACGCCUUUGCCGGCUUCCGUGGCGACGUGUUGCUUCGGGAUCGACAGGUCGGGGCGAACGGCGGCCACCUCGCCAACGUCCGUCGGAGAGGCCAUGAUAAACCUCUUCUUGGCCGAACGCUCGCUGUGCUCCCUGGGAUACGUGGUCGAGCUUAGGCUGCGACAUUCUGGAGCUGGGGAUGUGCAUCUGGCAGGGAGGGAUACCGCAGGCCUCAUCUAAAAACUCAGGGGAGUGGGGCGACGGUAUGGGAAUCGCUGGGUAACCUAAUCUAAGCUAGGAGGAACGAGCAGACCGACAUGGUUGGCCGCGGNNNNNNNNNNNNNNNNNNNNNNNNNNNNNNNNNNNNNNNNNNNNNNNNNNNNNNNNNNNNNNNNNNNNNNNNNNNNNNNNNNNNNNNNNNNNNNNNNNNNNNNNNNNNNNNNNNNNNNNNNNNNNNNNNNNNNNNNNNNNNNNNNNNNNNNNNNNNNNNNNNNCGAGCUAGGGAUCGAGGGGGGGGGGCGGGAGGGGGGCGGGUGGGGGACUGUGUGUGUGUGUGGGGGGGGGUGGUGUUUGAGGAUACGCCGCGGCUACUGAUAAUUUUAGUAAUGAAGGGUGGAGAUGGUGGUGGACGAGGGAGGGCGACGGUUCAAAUGCUCGGCUACUACAAUUUUACUAUAAGGUCGGUGCUGGAGGAGUGUGGGCGACGGUUGAAGUACGACGGCUAUUAAAAUUUCGGUAAAGGAAUUAAUGCGGGGCGGGAGUGCCCAAGAUCGCGCAUGGUCCAAUAACAAUAUGCGUGUAUGAUAAUAAGGAAAAGUGGCGCGGAUCCGCCGAUUUUUGGAACGCUCAAGGCGGGUAGUUUGUUUUUUAUAUUUCUAGCUAGCUGGUCUAUCGCACAUGGUUCAUCCUAAUUUCCAAAUAAACUUACCCGCCUUUAGCUUGCACAGGUGGUGAUUUUACAACGCACUUGCAUCGCACACGGUUAAGCCAGUACCUCCACCCUUUGCUCGCGCUUGCGCGGUCGUGGUGAUUUCAGCGCACUUGCAUCGCACAUGGUUGAGCCAGUACCUCCACCUUAAUUUGCUCGCGCUUGCGCGGUCAUGGUGAUUUUAGCGCACUUGCAUCGCACACGGUUGAGCCAGUACCUCCACCUUAAUUUGCUCGCGCUUGCGCGGUCGUGGUGAUUUCAUCGCACUUGCAUCGCACACGGUUGAGCUAGUACCUCCACCCUUUCCUCGCGCUUGCGCGGUCGUGGUGAUUUCAGUGCACUUGCAUCGCACACGGUUGAGCCAGUACCUCCACCUUAAUUUGCUCGCGCUUGCGCGGUCGUGGUGAUUUCAGUGCACUUGCAUCGCACAGUGUUGAGCCAGUACCUCCACCUUAAUUUGCUCGCGCUUGCGCAGUCUUGGUGAUUUUAACGCACUUGCAUCGCACAUGGUUGAGCCAGUACCUCCACCAUAAUUUGCUCGCGCUUGCGCGGUCGUGGUGAUUCACAUCGCACUUGUAUCGCACACGGUUAAGAUAUUAUACCCCGUGUCCGUUGAGGGUCACCAGAGUCUUUGCAGCAAAAAAUAACGUUAGAGAGGGUCGAAAGACAGCCACACCAGCAUGUGGCCCAAAUAUAUAUGAGUGAAAAGGGUGGUCUGUGAUGUUCAAAAUUCCAAUGCACAACUUUGACCUCGCGGGCCCACGGUUGGGCGCGUCGUUGAAGAUCGAUGAGAGGGGCCAGAAGUCAAGAACCACUUGGAAGUGGCCAAAUAUAUGUAGGAAUAUUGGGGAUGUUUAAAACUUUAAAUACACAAUGCAUAACUUGGGUGGCACCGGCCUCGCAAACCCGAAAGCACCCUAACAACCACCUAGCUAGGAUAUAUAUAAUGACAUAAUGUCGUACCUAGCUAGGAUGCUUGGCCCACCACCUCCCACUUCGUGUCAGCGGGGCGGACGCACGUAAUGAUCGAUACUUUGGUCAUACAUGCAUGUCGCCAUGACCUACCAUAAGACGGACAAUGAAUCUUUUGUUUGGUCAAAUGACAGUUGUUGUUGUCGAUAAACCGCUUGGGCCAAUAGAUUGAACCAUCAUAAAAAUCGCAUGAGAGGGACUACAAAACCAGCACCUCUUGCAUGCGGCCCAAUAUGAUGUACGUUGGGAAGGGGUGAUGUGUGUUUUCAAUAUAGAAUAAUGUACAAUUUAGAUGUGGUGCCUACCUCUCGAUACAAACAACAACCAUGAAGUCAAGGUAGUUAAGGACGAGAUACGUACGCAGGGUUUGAUGUAGGUCAAACCUAGCAAUCCGAGCAUCUGGGAGGGAAUCCUAACAACGCAUGACCUCGAGCUUUGGUUGACCGACAUUUGACGGUGACCGACCCUAACACGAACUAGGAGGAAUCCAUUCAUGGCCAACUCAUACCCCUCAUCAUCGGUCAAAGGGAUGAUAUAUAUACACUUGGGGAGCCCACAGAUAUCCGUGUCGUCACAAAAAACCGCACAAGGGAGACGUGGUCGAUCAGAAGACCCCGUAUACACUGCAUGCGGCCCGAAAAUCUAUAUGGGUACGAUGGUGUAUGAUGUGUUUAAAUCCCAAAUGCACAACUUCGAUGGGCAUGCGAACUACAUUACAAACCGAACACCGUACCCGACUCCAAGCCUGGUUCAAUACCUAUGAUGUCAGUUUCCCAACUUCGAGGCGGUGGCGGGGGGGUCGUCCCACGCAUGCGCUCAAACUUUAUUUUGUCUAGCAUGGGACACAUCUAUAUACAUCUAUACAUCUAUAUCUAUACACCUAUAUAGUGUGCGAAUAACUUUGAAAGUUGCUCGUUGGAUGAAGCCAAUCCGACGGUACAGAGAUGGCAAAUACGAGCACUACUGUCCGUUGGAUAUCAUCUACAUUCCACCAGAUUCUGCCACAUGUACAAUCUAGAAGACUCCUUGGUUGAACUUAAGCAUAAUGCACAAACCUCAAAACACAAGCACUUCUCCUUUGUUCUCUAGAAUCUUCCAUAUCUUAAUUGCCUAAACCUUUUUUUCUAAAUGAAUUGUCACUUUUUUGUUUUUACCUUUACAAUGCACAAUCCCAUGAAUCUUAAAAUAGUUUUUUGUAAAACUAAUUGAUUUUGGAUGAGAUGAACUAUAAGAAUUAAAUGAACAUCUUCAUCAUGACUACUAGGGAAAACCUUAUACACAGAACUUUAGCAGUAGCGCUUGUUAAAAAAGGGCGCUAGUGCUAAAUAACAGUAACACGUGCAGGAUAAGGGCGCUACAGAUACAAAUGUAGCAGUAGCGCGCCUAACUAUAAACGUGCUACAACUAAAAUUCUCACGACUAAGCCGAUAAGCUAAACAUAGUAGUAGCGUUCUUGUUUAAACUGCGCUACCGCUAUGUCUAUUGUAGCAGCGCGUUUACGUAGAAAGGCGCUACUGCUAACGAAAAGAAAAUAAAUCAAACAACAAACAGAAAAGUAAAUGAAAAUGAAAGAAAUAGAAAAAGGAGAAAGGAAAAAAUAAAAAUGUAAAGAAAAAUAGAUGAGAAAGGGAAAAAAGAGACAGGCUUAGCAGUAGCGCGUUUUGUGAAACGCGCUAUAACUAAUUAGCUAUAGCGCGUUUCCCUUAACGCAUUACCGCUAUGUUUCACUUAACCAGCGUUUUUCCCUCCACCCGGCCACCACUUCUCCCCCAAAUCCCUCGCCCCCACUUCGCCGUCAUGUCCCCAAUUCUCCGUCGCCCCACUUCGCCGCCGUCUCCUGCCGACGUCGACGCCCCCGGAGGCACCAGUGCCGCGCGCCGUCGACGCCACCAGAGCCGCCCCCAACGCCACCGGAGCCGUGCGGCCUCAUCAAUGCCAUCGAAGCCGCCCUCGGCGCCACCGGAGCCACCCUCGACGCCCCUGCCUUCCUCGCCACAACUGCCUCCCUCGCCACCACUGCCUCCCUCGCCACCACCGGAGCCAUCGUCUGUAAGCACCCCUCGUCUCUCUCUCUCUGAUGCAUAGCACAAACAUUGGACAUACUAACUAGCUAGGUUAACUAGUUUAAUUAGGUUAAUUUUCUAGGUUAGUGCAAAAAUGUAGUUAGGGCUUUCACAGAGAACUAGUUAGGUUAACUAGUUUAAUUAGGUUAAUUAUCUAGGUUAAGAAAACAUUUAUUUAGGGCUUUGACAGAGAACUAGCUAGGUUAACUAGUUUAAUUAGGUUAAUUAUAUAGGUAAACAAGGUUAACAAGCUAGGUUAACUAACUAGCUAGGUUAAUUUGGUUCGUUAGGUUAACAAGCUAGGUUAACUAGGUUCGCCAGGUUAGAGGAAAAAUUUAUUUUCGACCACUAUUUUUCUAGGAAAAGAAUUUAGGCAAGUUUUAUUUUAAAGAUGAUCCCUUCCUAGACUUUUAUUGUUUAUUAUAUCUUUUCAUUGAAGUGGUCAUGUUAUAUCUUUUCAUUGAAGUGGUUCGAUUGUGCCCAAGUGGCCUUUUGUUGUUUCCAGGGAAUGAAGCUGAGUGGCCUAUGUUUUGCCGGAAUGUUGAUUCAUUUCUGUUCCGACAAAUUUCAGGUUCUCGAUUUGUCCACUUUUUAGCAAAGGUCAUGCCGAAAUUUUCCGUGAAUUUCGGCAUGACUUGUGCUACAAACUAGGACAUAUCGAGUACCCGGGAUUUGUCGCACCAGGAAUUAGUCAAUGUCCCUGCAAAACAUAGGCCUUUUUAUGUCAUUAUUCAUUUUAUUAGGUCUAGAAUUAAUUGACUAGAUUUAAUCGUAGGAAACAUGGCUAGCAACGAUGAAGGACAGGGUUCUGGUCAUUGCGACAAUGUCUACCUGGUGGCAGACAAACUUUUGAGCCUUGCCGACGAUCAACCGAUGUUGUUGCUGGGCCCACCGGUCGCAUCGGGGACUGAGACCGACACACAGACCGGUGCUGAGACUGAGACAGGCGCGGAGACUGAGACCGGCAUCGAGACCGGUGCUGCCUCGGGGAGCGGAGCUGGUGUAGAACCGAAAGCAAAGAGGCAAUGACUUCCUAACGAACUCAGGACUACUAGACUGGUGGUCACGGAGGUGGACGACGACAAUUUUGAGCCAAACACGCCCGAGGAAGUGCGCGCGUGCUACGGCAAUCAAAUAGGCUGCAUCAUACGGACAACCACCACCAUCAACGAUGAGAAACUAUAGAAGAUAGAUAAUAUGAGGCCCUCCCUCUUAAAGAAGAUGCACCAGAUAUUCUUGCACGAGGGCUUCUUGGGAGUCUACGCAAAGCACCGUGAAUACGUGAGGGAAUACAUCGUCAAUUUCAUGCUCGCCAAUAAGGACAAGGAGGCGAUUCUCGUGCCUUAUCAUCCCCUGUAAGUCAUCCGCAUGGAUAUCCUUCCUUCGAUUUCAAUCAUUCAUUUGCAUAGUGGAGGCUAAUUAAUUUGAGGUUUACUUAUUUUGUGCAGCGGCGGGCGCGCCGUCCUCAUCAUCCUCUACCCCCGAUACCCCCACGCUCUUUACUUGGACUCGUCGAAGAACAUUAACAAAAAGGAUUACACCCACAUCAAGGAUAUUCUCGACAGUGUAUGUUUUACUACGACGCACGGGGUGGAGAGGUCAAGAACAAGAAGAUAAGGGACGACAGGCCCGCCUUCGGCCAUAAGACCGACUUCUGCUGCAUCUAGCAACCGAGUGAUUCUCUUAAUGAUGGAUUCUAUGUCCUACACCACAUGCUGGAGUACAGACGGGAUCACCAGAACCUUCGCAUGUCACCUACAUCCGACGAUGCCCAUAUUCUGCAAUGGGCAAAGAACGUAGGAGAUAUCGAGGAUCAUCGACUUCGAGCUGAGUUCUAUCACAUCCAGCGUGAACUUGCCCAAAUCAUCAUGAAGGAGGUCGCCGAAAAAAUAGGGAUAUUCUACGAAGAAGGACAAAUGUCGCGGGAAGACGUCCGAACACGGGUAGCCGCUCAGUGUCUCGACCUGAAGCCUUUCACUAGGCUCGGGGACUAUCUCCCUGACUUGGAUGGAUGGCACGACAUGUUGGACUGAUUGUCGAUAUAUGACAAUGUGUUUGUUUAGUCCAUACUCGAAACUUUGAGUUAUGCACGACGAAACUUUAUUUUUGAUGUAAUUAAACCGUCCUCCUCGACUAGCGACGAUCACUCUAGUUAGGGCAUUUUGGGUACGAUCAACUUUGUUAUUUAUGCUUAUGAUAUGUUGCUUCUAUUUUUGCCAAGUCUGUCUCUUUGUGUUGCUCAACUAUAUAUGUUGCAUAUCAUCGACUCAUGUGACGAUGCAGGUGCAUAGAUCAUCGAUGGCGAAGAAGUGCUACGCCAGGAGUAUAUAUAUGACGAGUGGCCGGAGUGUCAGGCCGAGGUGUACCGAUUUCCGGUUUCCGAGCGACAGGCAGUAGUUAGUCUAGGUUCACGCUAAUGCAAGAGAGGGAUACGAACUCAUGUACUGCAUAGUUCCGCUCUCACUCAAAGUGAUAGCUCUUCUCGUGUAUAUCAUUGUUUAGAUGGAUAACAAUGUAGUUGCAAGUAAUCGAGACUUGUAUCGCUAUUUUCGAGAUGAUGACGAGAGACCACUUUGUGUUGGAUGAUGAUUAUGAUGAUGACAUGAUUUGAUGAGACUAUUUGUAGGUAUAUGCUAUGAUUACAUUUGUAUGUGUAUGAUAUGGUAAAGAUUAUUUUAUAAAGCCUAUUCAAAUACAAAACAAAUAUGCAGGAAAAAAACUAAUAAAACUAGCAGUAGCGAGGGGAACAAAGUUAGCAGUAGCGCUGCCUUACCAGUAGCGCUUCCUGCUAAAAAGCGCUGCAGAUAUUAGCAGUAGCGCUCUUCACUAAAGCACGCUACUGCUAGCCAUGUAUAGCAGUAGCGUGGGAUGACACGCGCUACUACUACACAUUAGCUGUAGCGCUUUAUCAGUAGUGCGUCGUCCCGCGCUACUGAUAGGCAAAAUACCCGCGCUACUGCUAGGGUUUUCCCUAGUAGUGCAUGCAUAUCUGGGAGAAGAGGCGGGAAAUCGAUGAGAGGAGUGGAGAGAAAUGGUAGCCUUUUUUGAAUGAAAACCUAGUAGAGAAGGAAGCAUGAGCUACACGACGCAUGCGCACAGUGCUUACCCAUGUACUGCAUGUGCUGUCGAAAGGGCUCAGGGUUGCCAUUCGAUCUGGGAGCAUCCAAUGGUGCACACGUACGAUCNNNNNNNNNNNNNNNNNNNNNNNNNNNNNNNNNNNNNNNNNNNNNNNNNNNNNNNNNNNNNNNNNNNNNNNNNNNNNNNNNNNNNNNNNNNNNNNNNNNNNNNNNNNNNNNNNNNNNNNNNNNNNNNNNNNNNNNNNNNNNNNNNNNNNNNNNNNNNNNNNNNNNNNNNNNNNNNNNNNNNNNNNNNNNNNNNNNNNNNNNNNNNNNNNNNNNNNGGGGGGGGGGGGAUAUCAUACGGAAACCAACGUUCGGUGGAAACCGGUGAAAACCACAAGAAAAAGAUGUUUUGAAGUUUAAAAAAAAUUCAAAAAAUGCGGGAUGUUAAGAGGAUGAUGUUUUAUUGCCACACAAAAUUUCAAGUUGAAACACAUUACGAGAUGUGAGCUAUGAAAAAGACAAAAUCAGCGUUGAAUAGUGCCGAAUAGUAAUGUCACUAUUCAGGGCGGAAUUUGUCUUUUUUCAUAGCUCACAUCUCGUAAUGUUUUCAACUUGAAACUUUGUGUCGCAAUAAAACAUCACCUUCUUAACACCCCACAUUUUUUUCUUCAGAUUUUUAUGAAACUGUAAAAAUAUGGUUUCCAUGAAGUUUUCAUUGAAUACCAGCUUUUGCGAGUGAACCGUGUGCUAUUUGAAAACAUUUCGUGAGAAGAAUCUCGGUUUUUAAAUCCCCGUAAAUCCAAAACUAAGCUGAAUAUCGUGAAACCUGCCAUGGUGUCACGACGUCGCACUUAUAUGUCGAGGAAUUUUUUCGUCCAUUGUGGCGUAAGUUUUAAUACAAGCCUCUACAAACCGGAGCUUCUCUCAAAGAAGCCUCGUGGUUCCGAUAGGGAAACGUGUCCCCCUUGUGGGCGAAACGUAAUCAGUGCCUCUUUUCGCCUUGUAUUUUCUUCUACGGGCAACAUGGAACGACAAGAUAUCCGUGCUAAAAUUUAAACUUAUUCAAGGUUCGUUUGGCCUUUUUAUACACUAAUUGAGUUUCCUAGGCAUUUAAUGUCCAUAAUUCAAAUCUGAACUACAAAUACAUGCUCCAGUUCACAAAAAUGGCUAGAAAAAUUAUACAUGUGUCCUUGGUGCAUGUUUAGGUCCCAUGCCAGGAAUGGGAAUGAAUUACAAUCGUACCGGUGUCAUGGCUCGUCCUCAAACAUUUCAAAUCUCGGUUUUUAAGUCCCCAUAAAUCCUAAUCUCACCAGAAAGUCAUCAAAGGUGGCAUGGUGUCAUAUCAUGGCACAUAUAUGUCGUGGUAAAAACAUUGUCCAAUUUGGGCCAAGCUUUAUUACAGACCUCUUACAAAAGCUGGAGCUUCUCUCAAAGAAGCCUCGUGGUUCUGAUAGGGAAACGUGUUCCCCUUGUGGAUGAAACAUAAUCACUGCCUCUUUUCGCCUUGUAUUUUCUUCCACGGGCAACAUGGAACGACAUGAUAUCCGUGCUGAAAUUUAAACUUAUUCAGGGUUCGUUUGGCCUUUUUAUACACUAAUUGAGUUUCCUAGGUAUUUAAUGUCCAUAAUUCAAAUCUGAACUACAAAUACAUGCUCCAGUUCACCAAAAUGGCUAGAAAAAUUGUAUAUGUGUCCUUGGGUGCAUGUUUAGGUCUCAUGCUAGGAAUGGGAACGAAUGACAACCGUACCGGUGUCCUGGCUCGUCCUCAAACAUUUUGAAUCUCGGUUUUGAAGUCCCCAUAAAUCCUAAACUCACCAGAAAGUCAUCAAAGGUGGCAUGGUGUCACGUCAUGGCACAUAUAUGUCAUGGUAAAAACAUUGCCAAUUUGGGCCAAGCUUUAUUACGAACCUCUUACAAACCGGAGCCUGUCGCAAGAACCCUCGUGGUUUCGAUAGGGAAACGUGUCCCCUUGUGGGCCAAACGAUAAUCACUCCCUCUUCUAGCCUCGUAUUUUCUUCUACACGCGACACGGAACAACUGAAGAUUCGCGCUGAACUUUGAAAUUAUUCAGGGUUCGUUUGACCUUUUUAUUCAUUAAUUGAGUUUUGUAGGCAUUUAAUGUCCAUCAUUCAAAUCCGAACUACAAAUACAUGCUCCAGUGCACCAAAAUGGCUAGAAAAAACGUACAUGUUUCCUUGGGGUGCAUGUUUAGGUCCCAUGGAACGAAUGGGAACGAAUUCAACCGUCUCGCCAUCCUGGCUUGGCCACAAACAUUGCGAAUCUCGGUUUUUAAAUGUCUGUAAAUCCAAAACUCACCAGGAAAUCAUGAAACUUGGCAUGGUGUCACUACAUGGUACAUAUAAUUGUCCAAGCCUUUUACAAACCGGAGCCUGUCGCAACCCUCGUGGUUCUAGUAGGGAAACAUGCCCCUCUCGUGGGCGGAGCAAUAAUCGCUGCCUCUUCUCGCCUUGAACUUUGUUUUCUACAGGCAACAUAGAAUAACAGGAGUGUCGGGCUGAAAUUUGAAACUGUUCACGGCUCAUUUGGCCAUUGUAUAUAUAUUACUAAUUACUAAGUUUUCUAUGCAUUUAAUGUAGUCCAUAAUUCAAAUUUGAACUACAACCACAUGCUCCCAAAUGGGUGGGAAAACAUACACAUGUGUCAUUGGGUGUAUGUUUAGGUCUCGUUUAAGGAAUGAGAAUGAAUUACAAACUUGUCGUCGUCCUGAAACAAUGAGAAUCUCGGUUUUGAAAUCCCAGUAAAUCAAAAAGUCACAACAAAAAACAUGAAACUUGGCAUGGUUUCAUGACAUGGCACAUAUAUGCCGUCGUAAAAAAAGUCGUCCAGUUUGAGAAGAGGCGCACACAUUAGUAGCCAACGAAGUCCUUUUUGAAACAAAAGCUGACACAUUAAUAUCACAAACGGUUGUAUUAUAUUUACCGUGUCGAAAUUUAACCAUACUCGGUGGCAUGCGUGCAGCUGUUUGAUUAGACGGGACGAGCGCGAGAAGUCCGCCGUGCAGGCUCGACGGGACGCAUGCGAGCAGUCCGCCGCGCAGGCUCGACGGGACGCGUGCAUCCUGUCCACCUCGCAGGCUCGACGGGACACGUGCGAGCAGCAAGGCCACCCAUGCUCACCGGGAAGCGAGCUCUUUGACCUCCAUGCACCAGCUGCCGCCUGCCUCGCUCACAACUUAUCCAUUAAUGGGUUAAUUAAAGCACCUGGACGGAGGGUGUUUGCUUGUGAUCCCAUGGCAGCAUUUGCUUUGUUCGUGUUUUCAACUCGUAUUCCGCCCUAAUUUAAAUUGCCACAUAGGGCAAUGGAUAAUACGACCACAAAUAAAAUGGCAACGGAUAAUACGACGACAAAUUUACAAUGGCGCAGAUAAUAAUUGUCUUACAUAUUUCGGAUAAUUUAAAAUGCCACAUGCGGCAAAGCCCGGAAGACACGGGGGCAAGAGAAGAAGGAAUUGCAGACAACGAGCUGGGUCGCUACUGUCUCUACUCAUCGAUGCAUCGCCGGGCGGCGAAAUCCUCCAGCUCCUUCAAUUCCUCACGACUUUGCUUGAAAGCAGCCACGGAUUCCUCCACCUCCUGCUCGCGCUUGAUCCGGAGCUUCCUCAAGCCACCCAUCAGUUCCUCGACGACCGCUUUCAGCGUCAUCUCUGAGGCACUGCUUUGCUCAUGUAGCAGCUUCGAGCCGGCGGCCUUCUCCUCCUUCUCGGCGACCAACUUGAGGAGCUUCGCAUUGUCACCCAUGAGUUGCUCGACGAGGCCGGUCGCCUUGUCAACCGAGGCAUCGCUGAUCUUGAGCAGCUUCAUCAAGCCGUCGACCAGCUCCUGCUACGUAGUGACGCCAGCGAGAAUGUCGUCAUCGCCCGCGAAGGACUUCAGGAACGCCGGCUCGUCGCGAUGGCCGACGCCGCGAAUGCGCUUGUGAGAGCCCUCGCGUGCCCGUGAGAGCUCGUUCGAGGGCUCCGCGGCGCGCCGGGACAUCUCUGCUGCGGCUGCGGCUUCGCGGCGGGACCUCUCUAGUGCUUCCGCGGCCUUGGUCUUUGCUGCCUGGUUAUGUGUCCACCCUAAACACCUCCUACCGGUCAUGGCGGAACAACUUGACAGAAAAAACCAGUUCUUUGGGUGAUGAGGAGAGGAAUUGUGAAGUAAUUUUCGAGUGGGUAGUUUUUAUAGCCCGGUGCUAAGUGUGAACACAUAUUAGUUUGAUAGGUGUGAAUAGAUUUGCAGUUACUUAUUACGUUGUAAUCAGCAAUGUGACGAGAAACAAGGUCAAAAUUUAUUGAUGGUAGAAGGUUGACCACGUGGUUGCUCGCCGUUGAGGCGGCCGCGGUGCGCUCCGCUCUGGCGUCCCUGCGCGCGCUCUGCUCACCGUUGAGUCAAAGUUACAAUGGCAACGGUUAAUAAUUCUUAAUAAUUGUCUUACAUAUUCAGGAUAAUUUAAAAUGCUAAAUGUGGCAAGGCCCAGAACACUCACGACCUACAUAUGCAUACAAUUAUAAUAAAAUAUAAGCUAAAAGGCUGAGCUGGCGGCCGUCCGAUGAUGGUCUUCUCGGACUCCAUGAUCAGCAUAGCACCCUUGAGGCCGUUCACUCCGAGUGUCCCGACCCGCCUCCGCCUACGGAGCUGCUGGCGCUGGGAGGCUCUUGGGGCUGCUGGGCCCUUCCAGAAGAGCUUGACAGCAUGCAAUCGCGCGCAUGACAACUCCGCGGAACCGCUCCAUUUCCAUGUCUCCGGCCUGGUAGCAAAUUCCGUCGAUCACUUGCAUCCUCAAGAUAUCACGUUGGCGAUGUUCUACUUUGUCGGGGACGUCAACUCCCCCAAGAAUGCGCUCGAGCCUGGCCACCACAUCAUCGGGAUCGAGGUUGACACGGCCGCCGCGGGCAAUGAUGAAGCUACAGGCUGCCUUUGUCUUGACUGAAUCGCAGAGGUCCUCUGCCCAUUCCUUGCUGGGCAUCAGGCUCUAGAGGAGCACAGGUGACGACGGUUCUUCGGGUGGGUCGUCGAUCAUGCCGCCGAGCAGCUCUGGAUCUUUUGCAUGGUGGAUGUCAAACUGCUCAUCACACCUCCUCUGCAAUAUGUCGAUUGUGCUCCCAAGGACUGUGACGCCGAUAUCGCUGCCGAUGGGCCAUGAUGCCUGCACCGGCCGAUGAAGCUCUUGCUCCCCGACCUGCUCCAGCUCAUUCUCCUCGCCGAAGAUGUAACAUAGGUAGGCGUCGACGUCGAAGCUUUGGUCGUUGCCUGGCAUGCUUGGAAUAACUAAUGGUACAUGGGUGAGGACUAGAUAUUUGCAGAGUGUCACGGCGGUGCGUUGCCGCCUGGGUUAUAUGCAGCAAGCCGUUAGCUGGUGGCGGGAAACCAGUGAGGGAAUAGGCGUGGAUUUUACAAUUCACCCAUGUGGAGCGCAGGAAGAUUAAGUGGAGCACACACACAACCCGAAUACCGUAUCCGGUGCCACGUGUUAUUUAUCACACAAGUGUUAACAUAAGGAAAUGCAUGUCUAACUUACUAAUCAUCGCACACGAGUACUCGCAGACGCAUCGUGUGCGAUACUCCUAGCCACCGCAAGCAACUAGCUAGUUUGCAUUUUCAAAGUUUUUUGUAAACACAGAAUCUCACACGAACUAAUUGUAUUAACCAUCUGUGUUGUAAAUUCUCAUCGCACAGUUCAUCCGAGUCGGCUGUUUGCCACGUAUCACACACAUCUUGUUAAGUUGAACCGUUUCUGUUGUGUUCGCUAAUAGAAAACAGUUCGUCCGAGUGAACGGUACGCCAUAUAUCACACACACCUUGAUCUGGCUAACCUUUUAUGUUGCACUCCCUAAUAGCAAACGGUUCAUCGGAGCGAACUGUAUGCCGUAUAUCGCACACACAUUGAUAUGGCUGCCCAUUUCUGUUGUUCUGCCUCAUCGCAAACAGUUCGAACGGGUUAACCGUGUGCCCUGCAUUGCAUAGGAAACUAAAAUAUGAACCGUGUUUGAUGCAUCCUCCAUCGCAAACGUUUUGCACAUUUUUUGACAGUUUUUUACAUCCCCGUUUGUGAGUAAUGCAUCGCACACAGUUUCGUGAAAGGGUCUCUGAUCGUAGUGUCGCGUUAGCAGCAUCCUGCAGUAGUGAUACGUCAAAGGGGAUUUUUCCCUCUUCUUUCUAUAUAAAGAAAUUAAUGAUGUAUUGUUCUUUCGAUUACUCUCAUAUUUCCAUGACAUCAUGUUUACCCUAUCUGUUUAAUUAUAGAUUUUUAUCCUUCGAUUUCAGCUGUUGUACUAUUCUUUCAAUUUGGGCCAUAUUUGCAUGUUACCAUAUUUUCUUUAACAAUCCUACCAUUUUCUGCAGCGCCUCCCUUGCUAUGCAACAGAAUCUAUAGUGCACAAUCUUUCCCUUUACAUAAAUCAAGACUGUAGGGAUGUCAUACUAAACACAAACCAUGGAUUUACAAUCGUUGCUACUAUAAGACUUGAUGAACGUGGUGACUCCUAUUUUGGCACUGGCCUUUGGAAAGAAAUUUCUAAGUUUUAUGUACUAAAAAUUGGCACUAUAAUUGCAUUGCACAUAAAAGGGCUUGGUCAUGAGAUAUAUGCUAACUUCCCCGACGAUAUCAUCCGUCCAGACUUUGUUCGAAGUAAGUUUUCUUUUCAAGUAUCUGCAUGUUGACUUACCCAGCAAUAUCAAAUGAAUUGUGUAGUAUUUAAGCAACCAAUUGUUAUUCCAUUUUCUUACUAUAUUCCUACCUAAUAACUUCUAGUUACCAAUACACUUUUCUAUUGCCCUAUUUUAACUAAAUAUUCCCUGUACUCCCACUUCUAUCAGAAAGCGCCGCUGGGAAGGAGACUCCAGAGGUGGAGGGCGGGGCUGCCAAAAAGCGAAGGCGGGGCAAGCAAGAACCGCAAGCGACUCCAGCAAGCCUAGACUUCAUCAGCAACCUCCCCGAUGAUAUGUUGAUAGUCAUCAUCUCCCUCCUCCCAAUCAAAUAUGGGGCACGGACAACCGUCCUUUCCCUGUGGUGGUGCUCCCUAUGGAACUCCACCCCUCUCGACCUCAUCGACACCCACGAGCUCUGCCAUGGCUAUUGCAAAAGCUUGGAUGCGUUCUCCAAGAUCCUCGGCAGUCACCUUAGCCCAACCAGAGGCCUUAGAAUGGGCAAGUUCCGUUCCAACGGCAAGGACCGAGCCAAGCUUGACAACUGGUUCGGAUCCCCCACCCUAGAUCAGCUCGAGGAGCUCACUUUUGAUGAUGGGCAUAUGUGCUUGCUGCCAACGUCUGUGCUCCGCCUCGCGCCCACGCUGCGCGUCGCCAAGUUCAUGAACUGCCAUUUGCCCCCCCUUAAUGACACACCCGCUCUUAUUCUAUCACUACUGAGGCACCUCGAGCUCGGCGCCAUCUGCCUCCCAAACAGUGACAUGGAGCGCUUGCUACAUGGCUGCACUGCACCCGAGUACCUUCGUCUUCAGGCGAUCAAUGGGUGGAGUAGCUUCCACAUCACCUCCAUGACUCUCCGGACUAUUUUUGUGUGUUGCUGGUGCGGCAGGAAGACAUCACAAGAUGUGUACCACGGUACGGUCAUUGAGGACACACCUACACUUGAGAGAUUACUUGUAGUUGAUCAAGAAGGUCCAACAAGAAUCAGUGUCGUUUCUGCACCGAAAUUGACAGUGGUGGGCUACUUGUCUGACAAAUACUCUGAACUUGUUAUUGGAUCCACACCCAUUCAGGUACAACAGCCACUUUCUACCUCUGCUUCUACAAAUUAACAUUAUUUCUAACUUUGAAGAUGUUUGUUCGUCUGUCAUCUAGAAAAUGAUUCCGACAAGCUUGACCCCGAAACUGCGCACAGUGAAGGUCUUGGCACUAGAAUCUAUCGGCCCCAACCUGGAGCAAGUUGUCAGUUUACUGAGAUGCUUUCCGUGUGUGGAGAAGCUAUAUAUCGAGGUGAUGUUCCUUUCCUGUUAAAUGUUAACCAUAAGGGAGUUCAAUUUGUGACACCCUUUUCCAAGUUUACAAUGACAAUGUACUACGAUUUUUGAAGGAUUCUUUUGGAGGAUUUCAGUACAUACAUGUCCCCCCCAUAUUGGUUGCUUGAUCCAUAUGGUUACAAUCCAUAAGCAUUUCUCCUUUGGAUUCUUCUGUACUGGUUUUCUUAGGGAACUUUUCAUCCACUCCAACCUCUUGUGAAGAAGGCUAUAUUUUUCUAGAAUGUAAUCAAAUGCCCAUGUUAAUCAUGUCAGAUCGAAGAUGGCAUGUUAGUGCAUUUUACAAAUCCUGCAAACCAAAUAGGCAUGUAGUAGUGUUCAAAACUGCAUGUUGGCACUAACAUGUUUUCUUCUUUGGCAGAUAAGAUUAGGCCCAGUGGUGGAUAAUGUGAUACAAUAUAACAAUCACGUCAAAUGCCUAGAUCUGCAUCUAUCACAAAUUACUUUGAACUCCUACCGAGGAAAUUUACCGGAGAUUAUAUUUGCCAGGUUCUUUGUUGUCAGAGCAAGGGUGCUGAUGGUAAUGAGGUUUGCCCUACAUUUAUUUCGCAAAAAUGAAUGGUUUGUUGAUUAGUGCCGGCGCCUGCGGCUGAAUGGAAUAGGCUCCAAAAAUGCUGAAUUUCAUUUUGGAACUUCAGAUGACAGAGUAAUAGGAAGUCAUCGUCUGAACCCCAUACAUGACUUCUUAGUGGCUGACCCAUUUGCAAAAAUUAUGAGGUUUCGAGACCAGACUUAGAAGUGGUAAUAUUAGUUUGAACCUCUCUAAUAUCCUUGUUCAGCGGUUCAGCGCGAGCGUUUAUAGCUAAUGAGCUGAAUUUCAUUUCUAAUAUCAGUUUGAACCUUGUAAUCUUUGAAUUUGAGCCAUAUAACUCUGGAAUUUGAACCUUGUAAUAUUUCGAGUUUUUGUGGUACAAUCGUUGAAAUGGCAUCGUGUGAGACUCGUAUAUUAGUAACAUUAUUUUGACCUUAAUAUGCAAUGGUCUUAGAUUUUAUUAACCAUUCUCGAAUCUAUUUACCUUGUCGGUCUCACUGCACACAAUCUGUAUAACUAACUCAACUGCGAUCUACGACAUUAUUGCACACAGUUGUUUUCUUCAACCGUGUGCCCUGUAGAGCACAGAAUUAAUUAUCGCACUCGAGUGUCCAUCAUCACUCUUCUGUGUAACUUUGACCUCAUCACCCACAGGUAAACUUAUGACUGAAGUCAUUCCACACACUUCAUUUUGACAAAGCUUUUUGCCAAUAAACGCCCACGAUUUGUCGCUCUUCUAGCCGAUGCAUGGCCAAACUAGCCGGGCGGGAAGCUUGCGCGGUAAACUGCGCGGUAGCGCGGGAACAGGCUCACCGAUGAUAUAUUUGGUGCCUCUUCGAGCCCACGUGUGGUCAAACAAAAUGCAUGCAGUGCGGUGUUGUCAAGCGUGCACUGGAAUCCUCCGCUAUGAACACCGUGACAGGACGUGACGAUUACAGGCCGGCCGCCCCCAUUUAUUACAGCGGCCAUUUAACCCUUGUGUCUCUGCUUCAACCUUUCGAUUGCGCCCCACCAUUGCAAGAAGCACACCCACCAUGACAAAUUCUUAGAGGGUAUCCUGCGCGGCUCCAAUGGCAUUCCGACGACGAGCAGCAGUUCACCAUGCAUGCCGUGGUGGACACCCACAGAAGGUUCACGGACCUCUCGGUGGUGUACACCAACGACCCGGUCUGGGUGGAGCACUCCAUCUACAUCAUGGAGCUAUUGCUUCCCAAGGAGAAGUACAAGGUGGUCGGGUUCGAUCUCGAGUACACCCACGCUCGUGCUGGGUCUCAUCCCAAGGUCGCCGUCGCCCAGAUGUGCAUGCACCACCACGUCCUCGUCUACCACUAUUGCCUGGCGACUAGGCCCUGUGAGAGUUUCGCCAGGUUUGUCAACAACCCCCACUACAUGGUCGCUACGGUGGACGUCAAUAACGAUGUAAAGGCAGCAAGGAGCAUGAGAAGGACUCACUAGUUCACCUCACCGAGGCCAUCAUUGACCCCUACUACAGAGACAUGAAGGAUUCCUACAACAAGGACAAGUGUGCCUGACACUCGGCCUGGAUGGAGAAACACGACAAAGCUCAUGUCGUGUACGCGGCCAAGGAGGCGUACACAAGCUACGACAUGUACAGGCGGAUCGUUGACAUGAGGAAGUGACUCCUUCCCCAAAACGGCUAGGAAUCCUCCCGGAAGCAGAGCAAUGGCAAGCAUCGUUGCAACAAUAAGUAGAUGAUUAGAUCCUCGUUUCUCCUAAUUUAGUAUGCAUGUAAUUGCUUACUUUGGUGUGUGGAAAUGUUAUGUUUGUAGUCACUUGUGUAAUUGUAUGCUUAAUUUGGUUUUGCAAUGCUGUCUUUUAAGUAUAUAUGUUGAUUCUCUAUAGAUAGAGCAAAUCACAUCGCACAUGGACUAAACAAUGGAACCCGUCGGUGAUGAUUUCAUCAAUCAUAGACAAUUGUAUACCAGUAAUCGUUUGCUCACGACACACACGGGUUGUUAACCGGAAUCGUCUGUGUUGUUAUCGGUCUUCCCACACGUUUCCGAUUACAGACCUGUUUGCCGCAUAUCACACACAUCUUGUUAAGUUGGACCGUUUCUGUUCUCUUGGGUCGACGUAAAUAGUUCAUCCGAGUGAAUUAUAUGCCAUAUAUCGCACACACCUUGAUCUGGCUGACCGUUUAUUUUGUGUUGCCUAAUCACAAACAGUUCAUCCGAGUGUACCGUAUGCUAUGUAUCGCACACGCCUUCAUCUGGGUACCCGUUUCUUUUGUUCCGCCUCAUCGCAAAUAGUUCAUUGAACUGAACCUUAUGCCCCUCAUCCCACACGCAACUAAAUUAUGAACCGUGUUUGAUGCAUCCGUCAUCGCAAACGUUUUGCAUCUUUUUGACGGGUUUUUUGCACCACUGUUUGCGAUUAUUGCAUCGCACACCGUUUCAUUGAAGGGUCUCUGAACGUAGUGUCUCGUCAGCAACAUCCUGCAGUAGUGAAUGACCGAUCAGACAUGCCGUAAAAACAUGAGCAUAAAAAUUGCUUUUGACAAGUGCGAUCUAUCACUUUGGGACUAGUUUCACAUAUUGCAAUUGCUUUUGACAAGCUCAAAUGAAUUUAAGUGAAGAACAUGAGCAUAAAAAUUUUCAUCUCUCAAAAUAAUAUAAUUGAAGUAUGAGAGAAUUUCUUCAAGGAUAUUAAAGCACACCGUGCUCAAAAAGAUAUAAGAGAAGCACUAGAGUAAAUGACAAACUACUCCAAAAAGAUAAAAGUGAAGAUCAAACAAGUAGUUAAGUAAAUGGGUAGCUAUUUGAGGACUCUCUUUUAUUUAAAAACUUUCAUAUCUAAGUAUUUAUUAAAAUAACAAGCUAAACAAAACAAAAUGACAUUCUUAGAAUAGCACACAUCAUGUGAAGAAGCAAAAACUUAGGCUCAAUCGAGGCUAACCGAUAAUUGUUGAUGGAGAAACGUGGGAUGCCUACUGGAGAAUCCCCAAGCUUAGAUGCUUGAAUUUCUUGGAAUAUUAACUUGGGAUGGCUUGGGCAUCCCCAAGCUUGAGCUUUUGUUCUCCUUAAUUCCUUUUGUAUCAUGGUUUCCCUAAAUCUUAAAAACUUCAUCUACACAAAACUCAACAAUAACUCAUGAGAUUCGUUAGUAUAAAUCAAUGCAAUAGUGAUGUCGCUUGAAGCUACGUCGGUAUUUCCCCAAAGAGGAAGGGAUGAUGCAGCACAACGGCGGUAGGUAUUUCCCUCACAUAUGAAACCAAGGUUAUUGAACCAAUAGGAGAACCAAGAACCCAACGUAAACAGCCCCUGCACGCAUAUAACAAAUCCUCGCAACCCGAUGUGUUAAAGGGGUUGUCAAUCCCUUCCGGGGUACGACGCCUCAAGAUAGGCAAACAGACGUGAGGGCAAAUAUAUGAGCAAGAAGACCCGGUGGCAAAUAUAUAGAAAUAAAUAGAAAUAAAACACAGAAAGAUAUUUUUGUAUUUUUGGUUUAAUAGAUCUGAAAAUAAAUGCAAGAGAAAAGUAGAUCGCAAAGGCAAAUAUCUGAGCAAGAAGACCCAGGGGCCUUAGGUUUCACUAGUGGCUUCUCUCGAGAAAAAUAGCAAAUGGUGGGUGAACAAAUUACUGUUGGGCAAUUGACAGAACUUCGAAUAAUCAUGAUGAUAUCCAGGCAAUGAUCAUUAUAUAGGCAUCACGUCCAAGAUUAGUAGACCGACUCCUGCCAGCAUCUACUACUAUUACUCCACACAUCGACCACUAUCCAGCAUGCAUCUAGUGUAUUAAGUUCAUGGAAAAAUGGAGUAAUGCAAUAAGAACGAUGUCAUGAUGUAGACAAGAUCUAUCUAUGUAGAGAUAGACCCCAUCGUUUUAUCCUUAGUAGCAACGGUACAUACGUGUUGUUUCCCUUUCUGUCACUGGGAUCAAGCAUCGUAAGAUCAAACCCACUACAAAUAACCUCUUCCCAUUGCAAGAUAAAUAGAUCAAGUUGGCCAAACAAAACCCAAAUAUCGGAGAAGAAAUACGAGGCUAUAAGCAAUCAUGCAUAUAAGAGAUCAAAGAAACUCAAAUAACUUUCAUGGAUAUAAGAAGACAGAUCUGAUCAUAAACUCAAAGUUCAUCAAUCCCAGCAAACACACUGCAAAAGAAUUACAUCAUAUGGAUCUCCAAGAGACCAUUGUAUUGAGAAUCCAGCGAGAGAAAGGAAGCCAUCUAGCUACUAACUACGGACCCGAAGGUCUACAAAGAACUACUCAAGCAUCAUCGGUGAGGCACCAAUGGAGGUGGUGAACCCCAUCCGAGAUGGUGUCUAGAUUGGAUCUGGUGGUUCUGGACUCUGCGGCGGCUAGAUGAAUAUUUCGUCGAUGUGCCUAGGGUUUCUGGAAUAUUGGGGUAUUUAUAGAGCAAAGAGGCGGUCUGGGGGCACCCGAGGUGGGCACAACCUACCAGGGCGCGGCUGGACCUCCUGGCACUCCCUGGUGGGUUGUGGCCCCCUCGGGGCACCCCCCAGGCAUAGGUAGGGCCCGUUGUGUUCUUUAUGCCCCAUAAAAAUUCUCCGUCGAGUUUCGUGGCAUUUGGACUCCGUCUGAUAAUGAUUUUCUGCGAUGUAAAAAACACGGAAAACAGCAACUGGCACUUGGCACUAUGUCAAUAGGUUAGUACCAAAAAAUGAUACAAAAUGAUUAUAAAACAUCCAAGAUUGAUAAUAUAACAGCAUGGAACAAUAAAAAUUAUAGAUACGUUGGAGACGUAUCAGCAUCCCCAAGCUUAACUCCUACUCGUCCUCGAGUAGGUAAGUGAUGAAAAAUAGAAUUUUUGAUGUGGAAUGCUGCCUAACAUGUCAUAUCAUAUUCUUUUCUUUAUAGCAUGGACAUUUGGACUUUUAUGUGAUUCAAAGCAAUAGUCUAGUUUUGACAUAAUAAUCUAGAUACUCAAGCAUAUCAACAAGAAACCAUGUCUUUCAAAAUGUCAACACUGAAAUAAGUUAUCCCUAGCCCAUCAUGCUCAGCCAUUGAUCCAUUCAUGAAACACACUUGAAUAUUAGCUACACCCAAUACAUAAGUACGAUCAUAUUGCCUCCUAGUUGGUGCUUUUAUAAGAGAAGAUUGAGACUCAAUUUCAAAAAUAAAAAUUGCAUAAAGUAAAAGAAAGGCCCUUCGCAGAGGGAAGUAGGGAUUUGUAGAGGUGCCAGAGCUCAAAGCGAAAAAACUUAGAGAUAAAAACUUAGAGAUAAAAACAUUUUGGGAGGUGUAUCCAUCCCACCAAUGAAAACGACUUAGAGUUCACAACACUUUCCAUGCUAGAUAUAUCAUAGGCGGUUCCCAAACAGAAAAUAAAGUUUAUUCCUUUUUCCACCAUACUUUCACUUUCCAUGGCUAACCGUAUCCAUGGGUGCCCUCCAUACCAACACUUCUAAGAAAUUUAUUAUUUGACAACUUAAAGUAAAUUCAUUUUUGCAUUUUGGGAUUGGGCAUCCCUAAAACCUUUGCCUUACUCUCGUGCAAUGACAAGUGAAUAAACACUCAUCGUGAGAAUAACACAUCUAGCAUGGAAAAUAUUAGCCACCCCUCACCGCUCUGCGAGCGAAACAAACACACAAAAGAGAAGUUUAUUUUGAAAAUUAGAGAUGGCACAUGCAAAUUUGCUGAGAACCGCAAAAGAAUACCGCAUAUAGGUAGAUAUAGUGGACUCAUGUGGCAAAACUGGUUUAAAGGAUUUUGGAUGCACAAGUAGAGAUCAUACUUAGUGCAAGAUGAAGGCUAGCAAAAAGAUUGAGAAGUGACCAACCAAGAAACGGAUAAUCUCAUAAGCAAGCAUUAAGCAUAAUUAACACUGAAUAAUGCACCACAAGUAGGAUAUAAAUUCAUUGCAUGAUUAUUGACUUUUGUACUUGCAUAGGGAAUCACAAACCUUGACACCAAUAUUCUUACUAAAGCAUAAUUACUCAUCAACAUAACUCACAUAUGACAUCAUCAUAUCUCAAAACUAUUACUAAGAAUCAAGUUUAUUUUGUCCAAUGAUCUUCAUGGAAGUUUUUAUUAUAUCCUUCUUGGAUAUCUAUCACUUUGGGACUAAUUUUCAUGUGUUGCUUUUCAUAAGCUCAAACAAAUAUAAGUGAAGAUCAAGGGCAUAAUUAAAUUUCUUUCUCUCAAAAUAGUUUAAGUGAAGCAAGAGAGAAUUUCUUGAAAAUUUUACUGACUCUCAAAUAAAUCUAAGUGAAGCAAGAGAGAAUUUCUUCAAAAAUACUAAGCACACCGUGCUCAAAAAGAUAUAAGUGAAGCACUAGAGCAAGUCCAUAGCUCAUAAAAAUUGAAGUGAAGCAUAGAGAAAAAUUCUAAUAAGUCAUGACAUAAUUUUGGCUCUCUCAAAUAGGUGUGUCCAGCAAGGGAUCAAGACUUAAAACCCAAAAUAAAAAAAAUCAAAGACUCAUAUCAUACAAGAUGCUCCAAGCGAAACACAUAUCAUGUGACGAAUAAAAAUAUAGUUUCGAGUAAAAUACCGAUAGUCGUUGGAAGAAAGCGGGGAUGCCACUCGGGGGCAUCCCAAAGAUUAGCUGGUUUAUCAUUUUUGGAUAAUAGCUUGGGAUGUCGGGGCAUCCCCAAGCUUAGGCUCUUCUAUCCUUCCUUCAUCCCUCGCAAGAUAACCCAAAACUUAAAAACUUCAAUCACACAAAACUCAACAAAACCUUUGUGAGAUCUGUUAGUAUAAGAAAGCAAACCACUACUAUAACUACUGUAUCAAACCAAUUCAUAUUUUAUUUUUGUAUUAUAUCUACUGUAUUCCAACUUUUCUAUGGAAAAAUCUCAUCAAAGAAAUCUAUAGAGCCAUCAAAAUAAGCACACAACACAAAGAAAACAGAAUCUGUCAAAACAGAACUGUCUGUAGCAAUCGGACUUUUUCGAAAACUUCUGGAACUCCAAAAAUUCUAAAAACAUAGGACGACAUAUGUAAUUUGUAUAUUAAUCUUCUGCAAAAAGAAUCAGGGAAAAAUCUCUUUAUGAUAAAAAAUGAGAAUUGUUUUCGUGAGCGCAAAGUUUCUGCCUUUUUCAGCAAGAUCAAACAACUAUCACCCAAGAAGAUCCUAUCGGUUCUACUUGGCACAAACACUAAUUAAAAAAACAAUCAUAACAGUAGCAUAAUUUUGUAAACACUCAAGAACAGAAAGCAAAAGCAAAAAUAAAACUUAUUCAUUGGGUUGCCUCCCAACAAGCGCUAUAGUUUUACGUCCUUAGCUAGGCAUAAAGCAAGGAUCUAAGUUUUGUCAUCCUUGUCCAACUCUUCAAUCAAACACUUAGGAUCCUUCAGAGAUUUAGCAUAAAGAUCUUCAAUAACAAUACUCCUAGGAAUAAAUUGAAAGAAUUCAUUCUUGCAGAAAGGAUCUCUUAUAACUUCAACAAAAUCCGGGUGAAUACUAAUCAUCUUAAGAUAUUCUUUAUUACCACUGCUAGAAGCUGCACCCUUGUUCUUGGUAACCUUGCCAAAUUUUAUGGGAGUUUUUUCGGUAGUUUCAGCGGAAGCAAGUACUAAAGAUUUCUUGUAGUUUAUCAAUCCAAGACGGGCUUUCUUCUAUUCUUUCAUGGAUUAUGGUACCUUUUUCUUUUAGCAACUUAAAAAUUUCUCCCGCUCUUGACCCAAUCUUGGUGGCAAGAUAUGCAUCUUUUUAUCCAUAAUUUCCAUAUGAUCUUCAGUGAGCAUUUUCUUUUCAAUAGCAUCUAAUCUUCCAAUAACAUGCUCAAGAGUCAAAGUUGUUUCAUUAAUCAUAAGAGGUGGUGAGGCCACCAAAUUUCCCAAAGCAUUAAAAGAAUCAAGAAAGGGACACAUCAAGAAAUUUCCACCGGUAAUCGUAUCAAGGAUGAAUCUAUACCAUGUGGUGAUGCCAACAUAGAAGCAACAAAGAAGAACAAUGGUAGAUUGCUUACGAAUAGAUCUAUUAUGAGCAAUGCAAAUUCUAUACCAAGCAUCCUUUAAAUUUUCUCCUCCCCUUUGUUUAAAGUUGAGAAUCUCGUUCUCGGGAGUGCAAGCAAUAGAGGAAGAACUAUCCAUAAUGAUAGUAAUGGUAAACAAGAUUGCAUACAAAAACAGACCCCGCAAGAAAACGGUGAACGGAAAAAGAGAGGCGAAUAAAAUGGCAAAUUUUUGUGAAGUGGGGGAGAGGAAAACGAGAGGCAAAUGGCAAAUAAUGUAAAUUGCAAGGAAAUGAGAUUUGUGAUUAGGAACCUGUAUAUGUUAAAGAUCCUCCCCGGCAAUGGCGCCAGAAAUUCCUUUUGACGCCGCUUGAAGCUACAUCGGUAUUUCCCCAAAGAGGAAGGGAUGAUGCAGCACAGCCGCGGUAGGUAUUUCCCUCAGAUAUGAAACCAAGGUUGUCGAACCGGUAGGAGAACCAAGCAACACAACGUAAACAACCCCUGCACACAGAUAACAAAUCCUCGCAACCCGACUUGUUAAAGGGGUUGUCCCUUUCGGGGUACGGCACCUCAAGAUUGGCAAACAAACGUGAGGUAAAUUUGUAGUAGAUUGAAAGAUAGAUCGCAAAUGAAAUAAAUAGAAAUAAAAUGCAGCAAGGUAUUUUUGUAUUUUUGGUUUAAUAGAUCUGAAAAUAAAUGCAAGAGAAAAGUAGGUCGCAAAGGAAAAUAUAUGAGAAAGAAGAACCAGGGGCCAUAGGUUUCACUAGUGGCUUCUCUCGAGAAAAAUAGCAAACGGUGGGUGAACAAAUUAUUGUUCGACAAUUGACAGAACUUUGAAUAAUCAUGACGAUAUCCAGGCAAUGAUCAUUAUAUAGGCAUCACGUCCAAGAUUAGUAGACCGACUCCUGCCUGCAUCUACUGCUAUUACUCCACACAUCGACCACUAUCCAGCAUGCAUCUAGUGUAUUAGGUUCAUGGAAAAAUGGAGUAAUGCAAUAAGAACGAUGACAUGAUGUAGACAAGAUAUAUCUAUGUAGAUAUAGACCCCAUCAUUUUAUCCUUAGUAGCAACGAUACAUACGUGCUGUUUCCCUUUCUGUCAUUGGGAUCAAGCACCGUAAGAUCAAACCCACUAAAAAGCACCUCUUCCCAUUGCAAGAUAAAUAGAUCAAGUUGGCCAAACAAAACCCAACUAUCAGAGAAGAAAUACGAGGCUAUAAGCAAUCAUGCAUAUAGAGAUCAAAGAAACUCAAAUAACUUUCAUGGAUAUAAGAAGAUAUAUCUGAUCAUAAACUCAAAGUUCAUCGAUCCCAACAAACACACCGCAAAAGAAUUACAUCAUAUGGAUCUCCAAGAGACCAUUGUAUUGAGAAUCCAGCGAGAGAGAGGAAGCCAUCUAGCUACUAACUACGGGCCCGAAGGUCUACAAAGAACUACUCACGCAUCAUCGGUGAGGAACCAAUGGAGGUGGUGAACCCCAUCCGAGAUGGUGUCUAGAUUGGAUCUGGUGGUUCUGGACUCUGCAGUGGUUGGAGGAAUAUUUUGUCGGCGUGCCUAGGGUUUCUGGAAUAUUGGAGUAUUUAUAGAGCAAAGAGGCGGUCCGGGGGGCACCCGAGGUGGGCACAACCCACCAGGGCGCGCCUGGGCCUCCUGGCGCGCCCUGGUGGGUUGUGCCCCCCUCGGGGCACCCCCAGGCACAGCCAGGGCCCGUUGUGUUCCUUCUGGCCCAUAAAAAUUCUCCAUGGAGUUUCAUGGCAUUUGGACCGCGUCUGAUAAUGAUUUUCUGCGAUGUAAAAACAAUGGAAAAAACAGCAACUGGCACUUGGCACUAUGUCAAUAGGUUAGUACCAAAAAAUGAUAUAAAAUGACUAGAAAAUGAUUAUAAAACAUCCAAGAUUGAUAAUAUAACAGCCUGGAACAAUCAAAAUUAUAGAUACGUUGGAGACGUAUCAAUCACCUUAUCAUUAUCUACUGUAGCAAAUCACUAAAAUUAUUAUUUAACAUUGCAUACUAAAUGCCUCUGCAUAUUUAAUACUGCUAUCCUCAAAUAGAAUCAUUAACCGGCAAACAUAUGCAAACAUAUAACAACAAUCUGUCUAAACAGAGCAGUCUGUAAAGGAUGAAGAAGUAUCCAUACUUAUUUAACUCAAAAAAUUCUAAAAAUUUACCACACUAUAGAAUAUUUAUCAUAGCUUACUGUGCAGAAAAAUUCAACAUUUUAUCACAUUCUGACUUUUCUCAAGAAUUUUUGCAACAUCGAUAAACUUUCUGUUUUGAAACAGCAACUCAUAUACUUGCAAACUAAGCAUGGUAAAGGCCACACUUGAUAUUUUUAUUGAAAUAAAAGAUGCAAGAAAUAGUUAUAAAUAACAUCAAGCAAAUCCUAAUAAAAUAAAAUGACGCUCCAAGCAAAACUCAUGUCAUGUGACGAAUAAAAAUAUAGUUCCAAGUAAGGUUACCGACAAUGUUGAAAAUGAAAGAGGGGAUGCCUUCCGGGGCAUCCUCAAGCUUAGUUGCUUGGAUCUUCCAUGAAUAUUACCUUGGGGUUCCUUGGGAAUCCCCAAGCUUAUGGUCUUGUCACUCCUUAUUCUCCUCAUACCGAUAUCUCACCCAAAACUUGAGAACUUCAAUCACACAAAACUUAACGGAACUUCGUGAGAUGCGUUAGUAUGAUAAAACAAAUCAUUCACUUGGGUACUGUCUAGAAAAGAUUCAUAAUUGUUUCCACUAAAUGCCUACUGUAAUCUAUCAUUUCCACAAUUUAUAUUGACCAAUAUAAUCCAUAGAAACUAUAAAACAAGCAAACUAUGCAUUGAAAACAGAAUCUAUCAAAAACAGAACAGUCUGUAAUGAUCUAAAUUGUUCUCAUACUUAUGCAACUCUAAAAAUUGUGAAAAAUUAGGACAACGUGAGAAAUUUGUAUAUCAAGCAUUUGUACAAAAUUCAGGUGAAAAACACGUUCCAGUGAAUUUAAACAAUUCUUCUACUGGAUGCAAAAGUUUCGGUAUUUUCACAGAAUCAAAUCAACUAUCAUCCACAUCAUUCCAAAGGCAUUACUUGGAACUUUAUUGAAACAAAAGAUAUAAAACGUGAUUAAUACAGUAGCUUAAUCAUGUGAACACAUAAAAACAGUAGGUAAAAGUGUUGGUUUGUCUCCCAACAAGCGCUUUUCUUUUAUGCCUUUUAGCUAGGCAUGAUGAUUUCAGUGAUGCUCGCAUAAACGUAAAGAAUUGAAACACAAUGGGAGCAUCAUGAAGCAUAUGACUAGCACAUUUAAGUCUAACCCACUUCCUAUGAAUAGGGAUUUUGUGAGCAAACUAUUUAUGGGAACAAGAAUCAACUAGCAUAGUAAGGUAAAACAAGCAAAACUUCAAGAUUUUCAUCACAUAGAGAGAAAACUUGAUAUUCUUGCAAUAUGUAAAAGCAUAAGUUACUCUCUCAUAGUAAUUUUCAGUAGCAUCAUGAAUGAAUUCAAUAAUAUAACUAUCACAUAAAGCAUUCUUUUCAUGAUUCACAAGCAUAGAAAAUUUAUUACUCUCCACAUAAGCAAAUUUAUCCUCGUCAAUAGUAGUGGGAGAAAACUCAAGAAAAUAACUAUCAUGUGAUUGAAAAUUAAAUUCAUGAUGACAAGUUUCAUGGUUAUCAUUAUUCUUUAUAUCAUACAUGUCAUCACCAUAAUCAUCAUAGAUAGUAGGCAUGCUUUCAUCAUAAUAAUUUUUCUCAUCAAAACUCGGGGGACUAAAAAUAUCAUCUUCAUCAAAUAUAGCAUCCCCAAGCUUAUGGAUUUUCAUAUCAUUAGCACCAUGGAUAUUCAAAGAAUUCAUACUAACAACAUUGCAAUCAUGCUCAUCAUUCAAAUAUUUUGUGCCAAACAUUUUAUUGAAUUCUUCUUCUAAUAAUUGAUCACAAUUUUUGAAUCCAUCAUUUUCACGAAAGACAUUAUAAAGAUGAAUAAUAUGAGACCACCUCAAUUCCAUUUUUUGUAAUUUUCUUUUUAUAAACCAAGCUAGUGAUAAACAAGAAAACAAAAGAUUUGAUUGCAAGAUCAAAAGAUAUACCUUCAAGCACUCACCUCCUCGGCAACGGCGCCAGAAAAGAGCUUCGUUGACGGGAUGUGAGUGCCGCUUACCUAACCUCCCCGGCAAUGGCGCCAAAAAAGAGCUUGAUGUCUACUACACAACUUGUUCUUGUAGACUCGUGUUGGGAUGUAACAGCCUGGUUUUUGGCCCAUUUCUUUUUCCUUUGAUUUAUUUGGUUUUUGCUCUGAUUUUUCUUUUUGGAGUGGUUCUGUGGCCUUGAAACCUUGGAGAUCAUCAUUUCUUCUUCUCCCAAGUGGCUAAUCAUCCUCAAACUCAUCCCAAGACCAUGCCAUUUCCAUCCUAGACCAACUCCAUAAUUCUUUUUUUUNNNNNNNNNNNNNNNNNNNNNNNNNNNNNNNNNNNNNNNNNNNNNNNNNNNNNNNNNNNNNNNNNNNNNNNNNNNNNNNNNNNNNNNNNNNNNNNNNNNNNNNNNNNNNNNNNNNNNNNNNNNNNNNNNNNNNNNNNNNNNNNNNNNNNNNNNNNNNNNNNNNNNNNNNNNNNNNNNNNNNNNNNNNNNNNNNNNNNNNNNNNNNNNNNNNNNNNNNNNNNNNNNNNNNNNNNNNNNNNNNNNNNNNNNNNNNNNNNNNNNNNNNNNNNNNNNNNNNNNNNNNNNNNNNNNNNNNNNNNNNNNNNNNNNNNNNNNNNNNNNNNNNNNNNNNNNNNNNNNNNNNNNNNNNNNNNNNNNNNNNNNNNNNNNNNNNNNNNNNNNNNNNNNNNNNNNNNNNNNNNNNNNNNNNNNNNNNNNNNNNNNNNNNNNNNNNNNNNNNNNNNNNNNNNNNNNNNNNNNNNNNNNNNNNNNNNNNNNNNNNNNNNNNNNNNNNNNNNNNNNNNNNNNNNNNNNNNNNNNNNNNNNNNNNNNNNNNNNNNNNNNNNNNNNNNNNNNNNNNNNNNNNNNNNNNNNNNNNNNNNNNNNNNNNNNNNNNNNNNNNNNNNNNNNNNNNNNNNNNNNNNNNNNNNNNNNNNNNNNNNNNNNNNNNNNNNNNNNNNNNNNNNNNNNNNNNNNNNNNNNNNNNNNNNNNNNNNNNNNNNNNNNNNNNNNNNNNNNNNNNNNNNNNNNNNNNNNNNNNNNNNNNNNNNNNNNNNNNNNNNNNNNNNNNNNNNNNNNNNNNNNNNNNNNNNNNNNNNNNNNNNNNNNNNNNNNNNNNNNNNNNNNNNNNNNNNNNNNNNNNNNNNNNNNNNNNNNNNNNNNNNNNNNNNNNNNNNNNNNNNNNNNNNNNNNNNNNNNNNNNNNNNNNNNNNNNNNNNNNNNNNNNNNNNNNNNNNNNNNNNNNNNNNNNNNNNNNNNNNNNNNNNNNNNNNNNNNNNNNNNNNNNNNNNNNNNNNNNNNNNNNNNNNNNNNNNNNNNNNNNNNNNNNNNNNNNNNNNNNNNNNNNNNNNNNNNNNNNNNNNNNNNNNNNNNNNNNNNNNNNNNNNNNNNNNNNNNNNNNNNNNNNNNNNNNNNNNNNNNNNNNNNNNNNNNNNNNNNNNNNNNNNNNNNNNNNNNNNNNNNNNNNNNNNNNNNNNNNNNNNNNNNNNNNNNNNNNNNNNNNNNNNNNNNNNNNNNNNNNNNNNNNNNNNNNNNNNNNNNNNNNNNNNNNNNNNNNNNNNNNNNNNNNNNNNNNNNNNNNNNNNNNNNNNNNNNNNNNNNNNNNNNNNNNNNNNNNNNNNNNNNNNNNNNNNNNNNNNNNNNNNNNNNNNNNNNNNNNNNNNNNNNNNNNNNNNNNNNNNNNNNNNNNNNNNNNNNNNNNNNNNNNNNNNNNNNNNNNNNNNNNNNNNNNNNNNNNNNNNNNNNNNNNNNNNNNNNNNNNNNNNNNNNNNNNNNNNNNNNNNNNNNNNNNNNNNNNNNNNNNNNNNNNNNNNNNNNNNNNNNNNNNNNNNNNNNNNNNNNNNNNNNNNNNNNNNNNNNNNNNNNNNNNNNNNNNNNNNNNNNNNNNNNNNNNNNNNNNNNNNNNNNNNNNNNNNNNNNNNNNNNNNNNNNNNNNNNNNNNNNNNNNNNNNNNNNNNNNNNNNNNNNNNNNNNNNNNNNNNNNNNNNNNNNNNNNNNNNNNNNNNNNNNNNNNNNNNNNNNNNNNNNNNNNNNNNNNNNNNNNNNNNNNNNNNNNNNNNNNNNNNNNNNNNNNNNNNNNNNNNNNNNNNNNNNNNNNNNNNNNNNNNNNNNNNNNNNNNNNNNNNNNNNNNNNNNNNNNNNNNNNNNNNNNNNNNNNNNNNNNNNNNNNNNNNNNNNNNNNNNNNNNNNNNNNNNNNGCCGGCACUGGCGGCCUCCCUCUGCACCGCGAGCAAACGCGAGGAGAAGACGAAGACGACGGCGUCGCCCUGCCAGCUGGCUGGUGAGCCCAGCGGCCCCACCCGUCAGCGAGCCAGAGGCCGGCCCCGCUCCCUGCCUAGCUGGAUAAGUGGAAGCGCCUUCCGUGCUUUACGCUUUCACCAUGGGGUAAGCGUGUUUUGUUGGAAUGCGCGACCCGCCGAGCUGCCAGGGGUCUGGUUGUGAAUAUUUUAUUUACAGAAUGGUCCCUGGUCUUCAACCCCUCAUAUCUUUUUGAUCCUAACUCCAAAUGAGGUGAGUCCAAAUCCCACUUCUUCAUCUCGUCGAGCUCGUUCUGAUGGAAUCAUUUUCACCAUGUGUUACCAUUCUGAAAAUGACCAUUAUGCCCUUACCCUUAAUCAGCCCCCUCCAAGAGAGAACAGUUUCUGGCGAUUCGUUCCGCGAGUUUCUCGCACAUCUCACUGGUGUGCGCCGGUCCUAAACAAACGAUUUUUAACCCCUUUCCACGACGACAUUUGGAACCAUCGCUAAGUGAGUGUGUGCGAUAGGUUGUCCUUCCCACACGACCCAGAAACCGUGGGGGAUAUGGAGUAGUGAUCCAGAGGCCUUCCCAAAAUGUAAUCGUGUGCGAUGCAGCACACACUAAAUUCU
rnacentral:lncRNA from 1 species